ACACCAAGGCUUCACCAGAGUGCGUAUGCAGUCUGAGCUCAAACCGCUCAGACCAAAACCCAGGCCUCGCUGCUAUAUGGCAUGGAUGCAGUUAAGUAGAAAAUAUUUUGGGAUGCCUGUGGCUUAGUAUAAGAUGUAUUAGCUCAAAGAUGGUCGUUUCAUUCUACCACCAAGCCAUAUGCAUCUAUGCAUAAUCUAUUGAUUUAGGCUCGAUUUGGUUAUAGUUUUUGUUUUUUUGUCUUCCAAAUCAGUAAAUAGUAGGGGUAUUUUUGUCCUAUGUAGUGAUUCUUUUUGUUUGAUUGAUUAUAUUUGGAUCCUUCAAAUAUUCCUACACAACUAUUAACCUCCUUCAAAAAUAUAUAGUUAAGGGCCUUGGUCAGAGCCAUCUCCAUCUUUUCACUUCUUGUGCUGCAGUAUGGGAUUGGCUUAGAUGAUCGUUAGUCUAAUGUUUCCUUUUCAACAUCAUAAUUCAGCGCAAACUAAGUUGAAUAUUCAACAACAAAUAAGUACAGAAAAUAAUGGAAGAAAAAUUCCCACUUUAUCUCCGUAAAGUAAUGCCAUAUUUUUCUUCAUACUUACCUUCUAGAUUUUUGUUGGAGCUCUGAGCCCGUGAUCCAUUAGAUGAUUGCGUGUGUGCAUAUGCAUGUGGGUGAUUGCGUGUAAUACGUACGUACGUUCCAUGAUUCAUGUUCGAAGUACCCUCUCUUAUUUAUCGUUGAAGAGGCUAUCGUCACAAACUCUAUUGAUUAAUUAGUCUAGGCAAAUUAAGGCGCGAUAACGACCGAUGUAUAUCUUAAAAGUAACGAUUAAGAGAAUAUUAUAUGUACAAGGGAAAAAUCUACAUAUAAUUAUUGAUGCAACUUGCAAGUGGGAUAAAAUUUGGGAUGGGGAUUAUUAUAAAUUAAUCUCAAUCCAUAAUUGUGAUUGUGGAGUAUAAAUUAAAUGAUUCAUAAUCCAUCUACAUGAAGAUUAAAACCCAUAUUGAAAAUAGCUUUAAAAAACUAAUUUAUAAGAAUAAUUUUUGCAUCAUAUUUUGUGUGCUUGAACUCGUUUCCUAUAUUUUUAAAUAUAUAUUAAAUAUAAUUUUCUUUUAUUUAUAGUGUUUUAUUUUUAAUUAUUCUUCAUAUUUAUAUAAUUAUUUUUUAAAACAAUCAUGAUAAAAAGCAAAAAGAAGUGAAAAUAGCUUAAUAUAAUUAAAGACAAAUAUCUUAUUUUUUGUUAUCUGUUGUUAUUGUUUUUUCUUUUUGUUAACCCCCUUCAAAUCUAAUUAUUCAUACUCAAUUUUGACACGAAAGAGCCAUUGUCAUGAAAGGGGGAGGUCCAUCAUUUUGGUACGAUGCCAACUCUACCACAUAACCACCAUUUAGAUAUCUAUCCUUUUAUUUUUGGCAUGUGAACUUAUAGUGGGUGGCUGACCUUGAAUCCACUAGUUAUCAUGUUGAAAUUAACCACCAUUUAGAUAUCUAUCCUUUUAUUUUUGGCAUGUGAACUUACAGUAAGUCCGAUUUAUGUCCAAGGGUCAAAUUUAAAUCUCUCUUCAAUCUAAUGGCUAAGAACUUCCCAACUUUAUUUAAUACUUAAUGUAUCCAAUAAUUGUAAUCGAGUAAUCCAAUGACAAGUACCUUCAAUGACUAUUUUGGCAAAAGAAAAAAGAAAAAAAGAAAUAAUAUAAGUUUGUUAUUUUAUGAUAUAAUAAAUUUAUUAAUACUUUCCUUUUUCAAAAUAUGUAAUUAGUUGUAAUUUCAUUAUAUAAUAUAUAAAUUAAGUUAUUUGCAAUUUUAAAAUAUGUUCAUUUUGUUUUUUUUUAAGUGUUAAUUAAAAAUUAUACAAUUUUGUUUUAUAAAAAGUAUUUAGUACUUUUAAUUUUAUAAAUUACAAACAUUAAUUAUACUAUUUUCUUAAAAUAUUUAGUUUAGUAUGCAUAUUAUUAGUUGUUUUCUCAUAUCUCAAGUUUCAAUCAAAAAAAUAUUUAUGAUUUGUUUUUGUUAAUUUGUGUCUUGUUUUCAAUUUAAUUAAUGAAAAGUUAUUUGAUCAAAAGGUUCAUUACAAACCAAUUUUAAAAAUUUAAUCCUUUAUUAUAUUUUGAUAUUGUUUUGAUAAAAAUGUCUUUAUUAUUUUUUAAAUAUAUUGUAAAUAUUUAAAAUAAUUAAAAAUAUUUAGAUCAAAAAUCGAUUAUUUUUCAAACAAAAAUAUGAAAGUGAUAAAUUUGCAAAUGUGGGGAAUAUUUAAUCCUUUUAAUCGAUUAUUUCAUUAAUGAAGUGGGUAUAAUGAUGAACGCAGACUUGGUUUUACUAGGGCAUGCAGAGGUUUUGCAAGAGAGAGAGAUCAUUUCUCGACUCUGAGAAAUCAAUCUCCUUUUGGCCCGGUGGCGGACUCCAAGUAAAGCCUUGAAGGAGCCUUGCUAACAUCCCUGCACACCCACGCCUUCCAGUACUGAAGGAAAUGAAGCGAAGGUUUGGCUCGUUCAACUCCACUGCUUGAACUGUACUAGCAUUCAGAUGCCGCUCUGGAUUGAAAUUUAGCGGUUCUUCCCAGAUUCUAGGGUUCCGGCCCAGCCCCAGACGGCUCAGAAGGACAUGACUGCCUUUGGGGAUAGAGUACCCAGCAACACUAGUCGGAUUCCUGAACUCGUCUAUCCUUUCCAACCACUCCAUCAAUUUCUUCACUGCUUUGCUCAAAAUCCCUGGUUGCUUGAUCAUUGCCUACUCAAUUGCAUUUGAUGGACUAUCGAAGCCUGCAAGCAUCAACUCCUGCAAAUUAUGGAAGGAUCAUAAUCUCAUGAUUGAUCAAGUUAUUUGCUGGCUAGGAAAUGAUCAUCAUGCAAUGUAGAUCAAAAGGUAAGCACAACACUACUACAAAAAUAAUUUAUGGUGUCAUUUUUAAAAUAAUGACACCAUAGGGUUUAUAAUUAAUAAAGGUGAUACAUCAUAUGAAAAUUCUUCAAUUGAGGUAGUUAGAUUAUGUUAGUUUUAUAUUUAUAGUGUCAUUUUUUGGGAAGUAACAUCAUAUAAAAUAAUUUUUUUUUAAGUAUUAUAACUUAAUGAGCCCACUUUUAUAAUUAAUAAUGAGGGAUAAUGUAUAAAAAGCCCAUUGUUUCCACAUGCCACCCACAAUCCAAAAAAUCUCAGUAUACAAACCUUAUAUAUAAAACCAUAAUCUUCUUCUACCUUUUCUCUUACCUAUAGUCAACACACUUAUAACCGACAUUUUCCACUUUGUGGACUCCCAAGUUAUCCAAAUUCUCUUAGAUCUAUCCUAUUUUUUUUCUUUUAUUAAUAUCAUUAUAUUGAUUGUUUCAGCAUCUUUGUAUUAUGGUUUUUGUGAACUGCAUUUUCUUGAGUUGUAGGGAAGAAAAACUUAGGUUUAAACUUCUAGCAUAGACAAAGAAACUUGUAGAUUAAUUGAUUUUUUAAUAUGAACCAAACACAUGACCGACUUUUUCUGUGUGUAAUAAGGACAGCUAGUAUUCAUGCAUAAAAUCAGCAUCAGAAUUCGUAACUGCAUUUGAUCAGCUAGUUUAGUAAAUCUGUACAACUCAUUCUUUCCUUUAUUUUCACAUAUGUUGUUAUACGUUAGCACAAGUUUAGGAGUAAUUUUAGUUUCUCAAAUCUGUAUUUAUACCUCUUCUUCUAAUAAGAAUUGUGUGAAUCAUUUUGUCUAAACCUCUUUAUGGUAUCAGAGCACACCUCAAAACUCCAACAAGUAUUUCCUGUCUUUCUCGCUUCUGCUAUGGCCACUUCUUCCUCUGAUAGUUUUCCAAUAGCCAUCAAUGCCACCCAGCAAAUUACUGCACGUCUUACACCAACCAACUUCCCUUCAUGGCAUGCUCAAUUUGAGUCUCUCCUCCUCGGCUAUAACCUCUUUGGCUAUGUCGAUGGCACUCAUACCUGCCCACCCCUACCGAUGUCAACUAAUGCAGCUGCCACUACAGCUCAUCACCUUUGGUUCCAUCAGGACAAACUUAUUCUAAGUGCAAUUUUGACUUCAGUGUCCCUAGCUGUGAUACCACUCAUAGCAACCUCCCAAACGUCAUAUCAAACCUGGACAAAACUGACAAAACUGUAUGCUAGUCGAUCCAGGACUCGUGUCAUGCAGCUCAAAGAGGAUCUCACCCUCAUGCAAUGUGGCAAUCGCAGCAUUACAAAGUACCUACACUCUGUAAAAACCAUUGUCGAUGAGCUUGCUCUCAUCGAUGCCCCAUUAUCUCAAGAUGACAUCACCCUAUAUGUUCUUCAUGGCUUAGGAUCAAAUUUUCGUGACAUUGUUGCCCCGAUUCGAGCCCGAGAGUCUUCACUCUCAUUGUUGCAAAAUACUGUCCGAAAUUGAAACCCUCUGAAGCCACUGUGAACUGCACAACUACUACUUCCAGUCCCGACAAACGUUGGCUCAUUGAUUCUAUGGCUUCCCAUAAUAUCACUUCUCAGGUUUCAAAUUUACAAUUUCACUCUGAAUAUGAUGGUACUGAUGAAGUUAUUAUUGGAGAUGGAUCAGGUUUGCCCAUUACUCAUUCUGGUUCUCUUACUCUUUCAUUUCCAAACAGAAAAUUUCAAGUUGAAGAUACUCUAUGUGUUCCUACCAUUAACAAAAACUUGAUAUCUGUUCACCACUACACAAAGCAAAACAAUGUUAUCCUGGAAUUUCACCCAACUUAUUUUCUUGCGAAGGAUUGGAGAACGGGGGAGAUUCUUCUUCAAGGACCGUGUGAAAAUGGAGUCUACCCUCUGGCCUCAUCGCCUGCUGCUACUCCAAUUGCUUUUGUCCAUGAACGCACAUCAGCAGCUGGUUGGCAUCAUCGCCUUGGUCAUCGAUCAUUCAAAGUUGUCACUCGCCUCAUUAGUUCUUUCUCCCUUCCCACCACUUCAUGUCUUUCUGGUUCUAAUAAUUGUCAUUCGUGUUCUAUCAAUAAAGCUCAUCAGUUACCCUUUCAUAAACACGGUCUAACUAGCACAACACCAUUUGAUUUACUUUACACUGAUGUAUGGGGACCUUCUCCCACUCCUAGUCUCAAUGGCCACAGAUAUUAUGUUAUUUUUGUUGAUCACUUUACCAAAUAUGGUUGGUUCUUUCCAUUGCAUCAAAAAUCAGAUGUUAAAACCAUAUUUCCUCAUUUCUACAAAAUGAUUGAAACUCGUUUUAACAUAAAAAUUAAAGGAGUUUAUUCCGAUAAUGGGGGCGAGUUCACUGUUCUUCGACCCUUUUUCACAACCCAUGGCAUUAGUCAUUAUACGACAGCCCCUUAUACACCCCAACAAAAUGGAGUGUCUGAGCGUCGUCAUCUCCAUAUUGUGGAGACAGGUCAAACCCUUCUAAGUCAUGCCUCUCUUCCAUCAGAAUAUUAGGCUUAUGCUUUUGCAACAGCCACAUAUCUAAUCAAUCGACUUCCAUCACCUGUUCUUCAUCAUAUAUCACCUCUUCAAGCAACAACCUCGGUAUGAAAAAUUACGUUCCUUUGGAUGUCUUUGCUUUCCCUUGAUGAAGCCGUAUAACACAAACAAAUUUCAAAAGAAAUCCGUUCCUUGUAUCUUUGUUGGCUACUCUACUAGCCAAAGUGCAUAUCUAUGUCUUCAUCUACAAAGUCAGCGCAUAUACACCUCCAAACACGUAACCUUUGAUGAAUCUGUUUACCCCUUCAAACAGGUUUCCAUGCAAUCACCCACUGACUCAUCCCCAUCAGAAACCUCUUCUUUUUCAGGACCAAUUUUGCAGCUUGCUUCCAGGGAGCUUCCAACAAUCACACGGGCUCAAGGAGAUAUCCCCUCUGCUUCUUCGACUCCAAGUGAAGAUCCAGCUCUUGUGCAACCUCAAGAGGCACCACUUUCCACUUUAGAUCAGGUAACUCUUAGACCUUCUACUUCUGUUUCUCAACCAGAAAAUUCAAUGCCAUCCUCUCCACCACCAUGUCCACGAACCAUCAUCACUCGCUCCAUGAACAAUAUCUUUCGGCCAAAACAACUCCACACCACCACCAAGCACCCCUUACCUGAACCACCCGAACCAAGUUGUGUAAGUCAAGCUCUUAAAGACCCUCACUGGUGCAAGGCUAUGUCAGAAGAAGUGACAACCCUCCUUUAACAUGGGACGUGAGAACUGGUUCCUCCCACUCCUGGCCAGAAUCUUGUUGGGUGUAAAUUUGUGUUUCGGAAGAAACGAAAUCCAGAUGGAACAAUCAGUCGAUAUAAAGCUCGACUUGUCGCUAAAGGAUUUCAUCAACGGCCAGGUAUUGACUACUCUCAAACCUUCAGCCCUGUCGUAAAGCCAGUAACAAUUAGGCUUCUUUUAACCAUUGCUGUCAUGCAUGGCUAGCCCCUUCGUCAGUUAGACAUCAAUAAUGCAUUCUUGCAUGGUAAUCUUGAAGAAACAGUCUUCAUGCAUCAACCUACAGGAUUUGAAGAUCCAUCUCAACCUCAGUAUGUUUGCAAGCUAAAAUAGAGUAUCUAUGGUCUUAAACAAGCCCCAUGACAGUGGUACAAGGCCCUUCGGGAUGCACUUCUCAGCUUUGGUUUUAUUCACUCGGCCACUGACAACUCUUUGUUUAUCUAUAAGUCUCAUGAUAUCUUGUGCUACUGCCUUGUUUAUGUUGAUGACAUAAUUGUCACAAGCAACACACUCAGCUUUGUGAAUAACAUUAUAAACAAGCUUGGCUCUACAUUCUUAGUCAAAGAUAUGGGCUCCUUGCAUUAUUUCUUGGGAAUAGAAGUGAUUCCAAUGCCACAGGGGCUCUUUCUAUCUCAACAUCAGUAUAUAUGGGAUCUCCUUUCACGAACCUCCAUGGAAAAUGCUAAAGAAACACUCACUCCAAUGUCCACUACAGCCAAGCUUACGGUUCAAGAUAAUUUUGAAUGUGUUGACAGCACUGAGUAUCGCAAGAUCAUUGGAGCACUUCAGUAUUUGGGACUCACUCGUCCCGAUAUUGCCUUUGCAGUCAACAGAUUAUCUCAGUUCAUGUAGAAGCCGACAACAAACCAUUGGGCCGCAGCAAAAAGACUACUCAGCUAUCUUAAACAGACCAUGUUUCAUGGUAUCCUUCUCCAAAAUCAUGAUCAAUUCCAACUCAAGACCUAUAGUGAUGUGAAGUGGGCAUUAAAUACGGACACUCGUGUUUCAACCACUACUUUCAUCACAUUCAUUGGUCCUAAUCCAAUCUCAUGGUCUGCACGCAAGCAAAUGGCAGUCUCAAGAUCAUCUAUAGAAGCAGAGUUUCGGGCACUAGCUACUGCCACACAGAAACAGUUUGGCUUCAUUCUCUUAUCAAGGAACUUGGUCUCACUCUCAGAGAAGCACCUCAAAUGUUUUGUGAUAAUAUUGGUGCCAACCAUUUCAGUUUAAAUCCAGUCCAGCACAGACGGAUGAAACACAUUGAAAUUGAUCUCCUCUUUGUACGAGAUCUUGUCAAAAAGGGAACUAUUCGUGUUCAGCACAUCCAUACCAUUGAUCAACUAGCUAAUCUCCUUACAAAAUCACUCUCACAUCAACGCUUUCAACUAUUAAGAUCCAAGAUUGGUGUUGCAGAUGGCACCUCCAUCUUGAGGGGGCAUAUAAGGACAGCUAGUAUUCAUGCAGAAAAUCAGCAUCAGAAUUCGUAACUGCAUUUGAUCAGCUAGUUUAGGAAAUCUGUACAACUCAUUCUUUCCUUUAUUUUCACAUAUGUUGUUAUACGUUAGCACAAGUUUAGGAGUAAUUUUAGUUUCUCAAAUCUGUAUUUAUACCUCUUCUUCUAAUAAGAAUUGCGUGAAUCAUUUUGUCUAAACCUCUUUAUAUUUAUGUGAGAAUGACAGGUACAAAAUUUUGUUGAGAUAUACUGCCCCAUAAUCUUCAUCCUUUCCCUAAAAUGAGAGAGGGAAAAAAAAAAAGGAAUGAUUUUUUUUGUGUGUAUCUAAGUGGGAACAAGAGAUAUAGAAUUUCGUUGAGAUGCAGUGCUGCCACAUGAUCUUUAUCCUCCAUUAAACCCAACAUAUUAAAUCCACUAACUCUCUCCCCAAAAAUGAGUAAAAAAAAAAAAAAGGAAAAAAGUAUGAGUUAAAAAACAAAAACGGAAAAUAUGAUUUUUUUAAUGUGUUUCUAAGGAGAAUGAGAGAUACAUAUUUUUGUUAAGAUGCAUUGCCACGUGUUCUUCAUCCUCUCCAUUAAGCCUAAUAUAUUAAACCUAAUAGCUCUCUCUUUUAAGCUUUCCAAUGAAGUGCCUAUAGUAUCCAACUCAAAAUAAGACAACUUAAGCCCCAUUAGCCAACAACCCAUAUUUUGUGUACAUCUUGAUGAGAUUAUUUUGUGAGAAAAUGUCAUGAAACAAUCCCAAUUUGAUAAUCUAGGCAUGUAUUUGAGUUAAAAAUAAAUUUCUAUUCUAUAGAUCAAAGAAUAAAAUCAUGUUUGAAAAUUAUUUUUAAAAACUUAUUUAGAGCAAAAAUAGUUUUCUAACAUAAAAAUAAUUUUUUAACUGAGAAAAUAUAUUUGAAAUUAUUUGAUAGAAAAUUGGGCAUGUAUUUGACUUAAAAACAAAUUUCUAUUCUAUAGCUCCAAUAAUAAAAUCAUGUUUGAAAAUUAUUCUUAAAAACUUAUUUAGAGCAAAAAUGGUUUUCUAACAUUAAAAUAAUUUUUUAAUUUAGAAAAUAUAUUUGGAAACAGUUGAUAGAAAACUGGGCAUGUAUUUGACUUAAAAAUAAAUUAUUAUUCUAUAGAUCAAAGGAUAAAAUCAUGUUUGAAAAAUAUUCUUAAAAACUUAUUUAGAGUAAAAACAGUUUUCUAACAUAAAAAUAAAUUUUUAACUUAGAAAAUAUAUUUGAAAACAUUUGAUAGAAAACUUUUUUUUUUAAUGUCAAUAAGUUGUCUUUUUGUUAAUUUAAUUGUAAUCAAUUUUCUUAUACGCAUUUAAAAGUAUAUAUUAUCAUAUUUAGUAAUAUUUUGAUUAUUAGGCAAAUUAUCAUUUUUGAGAGGAAUUUUUGUAGCUCUCAUAAUUAUAAUUGUAUUUUAAUAACCACUUCCAAUAAAUAAAAAAAAGAAAAAAAAAGUUAGACAAUUAUCAAAAUCUGAUUUUUAGGAUUUUAAAAAAAUCUACAAGCCAAAACUAUUUAUAAUUUUGAUCAUGUGAGAACACUUCUUUUUUAAUACUUUGAGUUAUUUUGUUUUUUUUUUUUCUUAGUAUCUGAAAGUAUAAAAGAAUUUCUCAUAUAUGUGCAUGUGUGUUCUCAUGGUUGUUUAUGUCAUGUCUUAUUAAAGAAUGAAGUGAAGUUUCCUUUGAGUGGAAGGUUUUAGUCCACGCUAGUCAGUGGACACGGUAUGAAUAGUUUGGGUGGGUUGUAUCUAUGGUAAAAAAAUAAUAAAAGACAACUUUUGCAAGUCUCCAAGUUGGUUGAGAUACAUGAUGUCAUGUUGACUAGACCUUGACUUUUGCAAGUCUCCUAGUUUCCAACUUUUUUUUCUUUUUUUUUUUUAAUAUUAAGGUGUGGGGCCAUGAACUCCUUUCUUUCCUUUUUAAAUAACAAAAAGGAAGAUAAUUUUAUUGUGAGAAGGCUAUUGCUACCAAUUGUGUUCACGUCGAGAAUUUUUUAAUUUACGGAGGCCAUAUAUAUAUAUAUUUAUGUCUAAUUUAGGAGGGUAAUUUGGGUUUGUCUAAUCUAUUCCAUUUAAUCAUACUAUACAAUCAUUUUUUUUUAUUUGGAUUAUUCUUGUAUUAAAUUUCUUCAACCCAAAUUUUGUUGAAAAGUUACAAUGUAUUAUUGAAAAUAUGACUUGGUAGUUGAUUAUGGAUAUGUGUCAUUUUUAGUAUAAAAAAAAAAUAAAUCUAUAACAUUUUAUAUUGAUAAUAUAUUAUUCUUGUAACAGGUUUGAAUAAUAAGCAAGUCAUUGUCAAAGAAGUUAUUGAAAGUGUAAGUGUACAUUUAUUUAUUGCAUGCUCUUAUAUUGUAUCAAUUGUAAGGAAGAUAAAAUUACCUUGUAAAGGUAAUUAAAUCUUUCUAUAUUUUAAAAACUUUUUUCCUAUAUACUAUGCUUUUGAAGCUUGUUUAAUUAAACAUAUUAGUUAUUUGACAAACUUUUCACAAAUGUUUUGUAUACUUAUGUGUUCUAUUUUGUUCCAUAGUUUUAUUGCAUAAUACUAAUGUAUAUUUUUUCACAAACUUUUUACAACUAUUUUGUGUACUAAUGCAUAUUAAGUUUUGUUCUUGCCUAUAUAAGCUACAUUUAGUUAUUUAAAUAUAUCUAAUAUUAUGUUGAAGAAAGAUGUACUUACUUAACUUUUUUUAUUCUAAAUAUUAACAAGUUUUUCAGUUCUCUUGUCUCGAGAUUGAAUGUCAAAAGAUAGAAGGUCAGUUGAGUAUGAUGAAAGAGUUGAAAACUUUAUCAAUUUUGCAUUAGCACAUUCAAUCAACCAUUCCCCUAUAAAAUGCCCAUGCUUACGUUGUGCAAAUCUGUUAUGUCAAACUCUUCAAGUCAUUACAGAACAUUUGUUCUUUAAUGGAAUCGAUCUUAGUUAUCGAGUAUGGUAUUGGCAUGGAGAAAAUGGACCCAGUGGAGGAUUUUCAAAUGUCUCACAACAACAUUAUGACAAAUGCAAGUAUAAUGAUGUUGUUGACACAAUAGAUAUGGUUAAUGCUGCACAAGUUAAUUGUAUGAAUGAUCCCUAAGUGUUUGGAAGGUUACUUGAAGACGCAGAAAAACCUUUAUAUCUUGGAUGCAUGAAAUACACAAAGUUGUCAGCAUUGGUAAAACUUUACGACUUGAAAGCAUGUUAUGGUUGGUUUGACAAAGGAUUCUCAAAAUUGCUUCAGUUGCUUGGAGAUAUGUUGCCAUUGAAUAAUGAGAUGUCAUUGUCCAUGUAAGAAGCUAAAAAUACUUUUAGUGCACUUGGGAUGAAUAUAACAAAAUUCAUGCAUGUUCUAAUGAUUGUAUUUGGUAUAGAAACCAGUAUAAGGAUGCUAUUGCAUGCCUAACUUGUGGAAAGUCAAGGUGGAAGAUAAACAAUGAGGGGAAAAAGAUUAAGAAGGGGCUUCCUUCAAAGGUUUUAUGGUAUUUCCCACCAAUCCCUAGAUUCAAAAGGAUGUUCCAAUCCUCAAAAACCGCUAAACAUCUUAUGUGGCAUGCCAAGGAUAAAGAAUAUGACGGUAAACUAUGCCACCCAUCAGACUCCUUAGCGUGGAAACUAGUUGACCAUAUGUGGCUUGAUUUUGCUUCUGAACCGAGGACCUUAGACUAGCACUCUCAACAGAUGGUACAAAUCUUCAUAAGUCUAUAAGCAAUAGACAUAGUUGUUGGCCUGUUAUACUGAUCAUAUACAACCUUCCUCCUUGGUUGUGCAUGAAAAAGAAGUUUAUGAUGCUAUCAUUAUUGAUCUCAGGACCACGACAACCUGGUAAAAAUAUAGAUGUUUACUUGAGUCCAUUGGUAGAUGACCUUAAAACUUUGUGGGAAAAAAAAGUUAAGACUUAUGAUGCACACUUGCUUGAGGUUUUUACUUUAAAGGUCAUCAUUUUAUGGACAAUCAGUUAUUUCCCUACAUAUGAAAACUUGGCCAAUUGCACCGUGAAAGGAUAUUAUGCAUGUCCAAUAUGUGGAGAAGGAACAUAUUCCCAAAGAUUAAAGUAUGGUAGGAAGAACUUGUAUAUGGGUCACCGACGAUUUCUUCCACGUAACCAUCCCUAUUGGAGACAAAAGAAGGCACUCAAUGGUGAACAAGAUUUUAGAAUUCCUCCUAAAAUUUUGAGUGGAGAAGAAAUACUUGAAAAAGUUGAUCUCAUUCCUAUUUCUUGGGGAAAAAUGAAGAUAAAAUCUCUUGAACUGAUGUGAACACAAAUUGUUGGAAAAAAAAGUCCAUAUUUUUUUAGUUAGAAUAUUGGAAAUAUCUUCAUAUCUUUCACAACUUGGAUGUUAUGCACAUCGAAAAGAAUGUCUGUGAGAGUAUUAUUGGUCCUUUGUUUAACAUCCUAGGAAAAAAAAAAUGGACUUAAUGCUCAACUUGACCUAGUUGAAAUGGGUUUAAAGUCUGAACUUUUCCCAAGAGUUGACUUGAAGCGGACCUAUCUUCCCCCUGCAUGUUAUUCACUAUCCAAACAUAUAUGACAAAAAAUUAGUUUGUCAAACAUUGUCUAAUUUGAAGGUCCCUGAGGGGUAUUGCUCAAAUUUGAGAAAUCUUGUCUCCUUAGAGGAAUUGAAGUUAUUUGGUUUAAGAUCCCAUGACUACCAUGCACUUAUGCAACAACUAUUGCUAGUGGCAUUACGUUUUGUUUUGCUAAAGCAUGUGAGAUAUACUAUAUCAAGAUUGUGUAUCUUCUUCAAUCAAUUAUGUACAAAAAUGGUUGAUGUGCCAAAAUUGGAUGAAGUACACAAUGAGUUAGUGGUCACGCUGUGCUUACUUGAAAAGUAUUUUUCACCUUCAUUUUUUGAUAUUAUGCUUCAUCUAGUAGUGCAUUUGAUAAGGGAGGUGUGACUAUGUGGUUCAGCUUACUUUAGGUCGAUCUACCCAUUUGGGAGGUAUAUGAAAGUUCUUAAAGAAUUGUUCGCAAUCAUAAUUGGCCUGAAGGAUGCAUUACUAAGUGCUAUUUAGUAGAAAAAGCUAUCGAAUUUUGUACUGAAUAUUUAUUAGGGACUUAUGCAAUUGGAAUUCCAAAAGCAACAAUUAUGACAACAAAUUUCGUAGACCUAUUGAUUACUACUCAAAAAGUGCUAUUUGAUAGCUUGUAAUUAAUCCUUUUAAACACUUUUGAGUAGUAGUUAUUGCCUUUUAACCCAAUUAACAUGUUAAGGACCCUUGCAAUCAUUUCUUAUCAAAUUGUGUAAGUUUUGGUGUUUUUGUUAGUAAUUUGAUCACCAAAACAAUCCAAGAUUGAGGAGAGUUAUUUGGAAUCCAUGGCAAAGCAAUGAAGAGCUCAAAUUCAUGAAGAACCAAGCUUUGGAGCUCCAUAGCCCUUUGCCAAAGUCGUUCAAAGUAUGCAAGGAAAGAGCACUGGAGAGAGGAAAAACAGAGUGAAGAAAACAGAGGAAAGCUAGAUGUAGUCUUCUUUCACACUUUUGGAGCAAUUUCCGAAGUCCAUUUUCUACAUUCGAUAUACCAUUUCAAAGCUCAGGAAGUCAAGAAUCCAAUGCUUCAAACGGUGCAUGAUUCGGAGUUGAAACGAAGGAGUUACAGCCAUUGCAAGCAGAUCACUCCAAAGUGUUGCGAAAUCAGCCUUUUGUUGCGAGAAUUUCGCAGCCUUUUUGUACAGUGCUAUGGAAUUCCUCCUAAAGUUGCCCGAUAUAUGCCGCAAGCUGGAAGCUGAGAACAUCAAGGUGGAAGCCAACUUCGCAGCCCUACGAGAAUAACUUGUUGAUGCGAAAAUAUUUCGCAGCCCUCUUGAGUGUCUGCGAAAUCUCGCAGACACCAUUUUCACCUGCGAAAUGUUCCUGGAGCUUCCCGAUAUUUUUGCACCGACUCUUUUGGAUAUUUUUCUUCAGAUAUUUUUGUAUAAAUUUCCAUUCUUCUCCUUGUAAGCCACGAACCAUAAGAUUUCUUAGUUAGGAAGGUUGGAAAAACAUCUCUAUAUAUAUUCCUUUGCAUCCACUGUAAUCAUAUAUCAUAUAUAGAAUAUACAGAGCCUUGCUCUGUUUUUCCUUCUCUUUCAUUUUUCAUUUAUUUUUAUUUCUAGCCAACCAAACUUUGAGGAUUUUUCCACAGAGGAUGAGAGGCUAAGCUUUUUGUCUCUUGGAGUGAGGAAAGCCGGGUAAGUUUCCACAUGCAUAAUUUGGAAGUUUUGUUGUUUUAGUUUUUAAUGAAGAGAAAGUGUGACCCGUUAGUGAUUUCUAUGUUUUUAGUUAACUUAAAACGCCUUUAAAUCACCUGGGCCAACACUUGGUAAGGCAAGUGAUUUCCAACCAUGGAAAUGCACUAGUUUACCCCUUGCGAGCCUUUGGGAGGUGACUUGAAGGUAGGAUUUUCUAGAAUAGCCAACACUUGGUAAGCUUUUGGACUCCAAGGAGACAUCCAUUAGUUAUCUCUUGCGAGCUUUUGACGGGUAAUCCAAGGUUAAAGAUCACCUUGAAUGGCAAGUGCUAGGUGAGAGGUAUGAGUCAUUGUAAGAUGCAUCAGUGAGAGGGAUUUAGUGAUUGAACCCAUUAAUGGGAAGCAUCUGUACAACACCGGUUAGAGAAUUAACUAUAUGUUAAUUCUCUAAUGCGAGGAAAAUAAACAAGUGACCGGAACUCUCCAUUUUGUAUGAGGAACAAGCCUAGUGAUCUGAACUCCAAGAAACACUUUUCUUUGUAGUUAAAACCAGUUACUAUUUUUUGUUAGCUUAAAACCAAACCUUUUUCAUUUAAACAUCUUUAUGUUUCUUUUAAAGCUAACCUUGAAAUGAAAAGGCACCAAUUCAGCUUUGAAUUGAUAUCAUUUGUGAAGUGAAAACCCAUCCCAGUGAACGAUCCUAGAGCCACUAUGCUAUAGUAGCUUUGUCUUUGCUACCCUAGUUCAUGGUGUAAUAGGUUAUAAAUUUUGUUGAUUACUCCCUCAAUCAAGGAGCACCAGCUGGACACGAAUCAGCUGAGACACCAAGUGGGCNNNNNNNGUUCAUGGUGUAUUAGGUUAUAAAUUUAGUUGUUUACUCCCUCAAUCAAGGAGCACCAGCUUGACACGAAUCAGCUGAGACACCAAGUGGGCACGAAUCAAAUGGCGCCAUUUGCUUCGUCCGUAGCAGUGGCAGUGGCAAUGGCACCAUUUGAUUCGAGGUUCAAUCCCAGGCAACGGCGCCAUUUGAUUCGUCCCUAGCAGUGGCAGUGGCAAUGGCACCAUUUGAUUCGAGGUUCAAUCCCCGGCAGCGGCGCCAUUUGAUUCGUGUCCACUUGGUGUCUCAGCUGAUUCGUGUCCAGCUGGUGCUCCUUGAUUGAGGGAGUAAUCAACAAAAUUUAUAACCUAUUACACCAUGAACUAGGGUAGCAAAGACAAAGCUACUAUAGCAUAGUGGCUCUAGGAUCGUUCACUGGGAUGGGUUUUCACUUCACAAAUGAUAUCAAUUCAAAGCUGAAUUGGUGCCUUUUCAUUUCAAGGUUAGCUUUAAAAGAAAACAUAAAGAUGUUUAAAUGAAAAAGGUUUGGUUUUAAGCUAACAAAAAAUAGUAACUAAUUUUAACUACAAAGAAAAGUGUUUCUUGGAGUUCAGAUCACUAGGCUCGUUCCUCAUACAAAAUGGAGAGUUCCGGUCACUUGUUUAUUUUCCUCGCAUUAGAGAAUUAACAUAUAGUUAAUUCUCUAACCGGUGUUGUACAGAUGCUUCCCAUUAAUGGGUUCAAUCACUAAAUCCCUCUCACUGAUGCAUCUUACAAUGACUCAUACCUCUCACCUAGCACUUGCCAUUCAAGGUGAUCUUUAACCUUGGAUUACCCGUCAAAAGCUUGCAAGAGAUAACUAAUGGAUGUCUCCUUGGAGUCCAAAAGCUUACCAAGUGUUGGCUAUUCUAGAAAAUCCUACCUUCAAGUCACCUCCCAAAGGCUCGCAAGGGGUAAACUAGUGCAUUUCCAUGGUUGGAAAUCACUUGCCUUACCAAGUGUUGGCCCAGGUGAUUUAAAGGCGUUUUAAGUUAACUAAAAACAUAGAAAUCACUAACGGGUCACACUUUCUCUUCAUUAAAAACUAAAACAACAAAACUUCCAAAUUAUGCAUGUGGAAACUUACCCGGCUUUCCUCACUCCAAGAGACAAAAAGCUUAGCCUCUCAUCCUCUGUGGAAAAAUCCUCAAAGUUUGGUUGGCUAGAAAUAAAAAUAAAUGAAAAAUGAAAGAGAAGGAAAAACAGAGCAAGGCUCUGUAUAUUCUAUAUAUGAUAUAUGAUUACAGUGGAUGCAAAGGAAUAUAUAUAGAGAUGUUUUUCCAACCUUCCUAACUAAGAAAUCUUAUGGUUCGUGGCUUACAAGGAGAAGAAUGGAAAUUUAUACAAAAAUAUCUGAAGAAAAAUAUCCAAAAGAGUCGGUGCAAAAAUAUCGGGAAGCUCCAGGAACAUUUCGCAGGUGAAAAUGGUGUCUGCGAGAUUUCGCAGACACUCAAGAGGGCUGCGAAAUAUUUUUGCAUCAACAAGUUAUUCUCGUAGGGCUGCGAAGUUGGCUUCCACCUUGAUGUUCUCAGCUUCCAGCUUGUGGCAUAUAUCGGGCAACUUCAGGAGGAAUUCCAUAGCACUGUACAAAAAGGCUGCGAAAUUCUCGCAACAAAAGGCUGAUUUCGCAACACUUUGGAGUGAUCUGCUUGCAAUGGCUGUAACUCCUUCGUUUCAACUCCGAAUCAUGCACCGUUUGAAGCAUUGGAUUCUUGACUUCCUGAGCUUUGAAAUGGUAUAUCGAAUGUAGAAAAUGGACUUCGGGAAGUGCUCCAAAAGUGUGAAAGAAGACUGCAGCUAGCUUUCCUCUGUUUUCUUCACUCUGUUUUUCCUCUCUCCAGUGCUCUUUCCUUGCAUACUUUGAACGACUUUGGCAAAGGGCUAUGGAGCUCCAAAGCUUGGUUCUUCAUGAAUUUGAGCUCUUCAUUGCUUUGCCAUGGAUUCCAAAUAACUCUCCUCAAUCUUGGAUUGUUUUGGUGAUCAAAUUACUAACAAAAACACCAAAACUUACACAAUUUGAUAAGAAAUGAUUGCAAGGGUCCUUAACAUGUUAAUUGGGUUAAAAGGCAAUAACUACUACUCAAAAGUGUUUAAAAGGAUUAAUUACAAGCUAUCAAAUAGCACUUUUUGAGUAGUAAUCACUCCCCCCAACCGACAUAUUGCUAGUCCCUUAGCAAUGAAGGAGAGAAAAAUAAAAAUAAACAAUACUAUAAUUUACAACAUCAUGCUGAUCAAAAAACAAUUUUCAAGUGGCAUGAUGAUCUAACUCUCACAUGGAACAUUAAAGAAAUAAAACUCAAACUUCAACAAGAGUUAUCAAAUAACUUGUCUAAUCACAAUUCUUAAAGAGAAGGCAUUAUGCAAAUUUAAGCUUUAAAAUCAUUUCCACUUCCAAAGGAUCAAACCUUACUCUUCCACAAAAAUCUAAGUGUUAUUUAUUAGCUUCCGAAUAUAGUAUGUUGAACUAAUCUCUCCCCCUCAACCUAGUUCUUUUUCAAAGCUUAGCAAACUAAUCAACCUCCAAUAGGCUAAGAACGCACCUCUUUUUUCAUAAUUUUUUUCAUUGUAGGAGUACAAGGCUUAAAGGUAUUCUUUUCUAAAUUGUCCAUGUAACGGGGGUCCAUCGAUGACUCCCAACCAAUUAAGGUUUAGGGCAUCAAGCUUUAAGGAUCUUUCAACCACUAACUCCUCGGAUUUUACCCCGGACUUUUGAGAAUGAAUUUUUAAUACCCAAGCACCUACAGUAUGUUAAACUCCACCUAUUCACCCUUGUAACGAGCAUUGAGGUCGGUGACUCCCAACCAAUGAAGGCUUAGGGCACCAGGUUUUAAAGAUUUUCACCAUAUACCCCUCAGACCUUGCUCGGGUUUCAAGGCAAGCAAACAUUUUUUUUUUUUUUUUUUCAAAGACUCAUUGGCCUUUUAUAAGGUGUCCCAACACUAUUAAAUGAGGUCAAAGGUACCAAGUCUAAAAUUUUCCUAAGUCAAGAGGGAAAUAGUUUUUCAUCUUAUACUCGGAACCUAUUGUGCACAGUGUGUGGAUAGCUUAAAGUGGAAGAACUAAGGUUGACUUCAAUAGAAGUUUCAACAAUUCAUCAACUUUAAUAAGCAUAAUACAAAAUCUAAGUCAAGUAAAAAGACAAAAAUUCAAUUUCUCCAAUUUUAGUUUGAAAAUUUUUCCUUAAUAACCAUGGAGAGUAGAAUAAAAACUUUAAAAUUUUUUUAAAUUAAGCAAAAAACAACUAAAUUACCAAAAUAACUUAGCAUUAUUAACAAUACUUACUUCCUCAACUCUCCCCCCAACCAAGCUGAACAUUGUCCUCAAUGUGACAAAAGCGAUUGAAAAAUAGGGAGGAAGUGGUACCUCUUGAGUGACAUGGAGUCUGAGUUGUAUAGGAGAAACCACAUGUUUCAAAGAAAACAUAAGAGUUAGUGAGUAGAAGAAAUAGAAAAAUGCCAAGUUUAAACAAAAAUGAUGUCUAUGUAUGAUGUAUCAUCAGUAACACAUCCAAUUCCAAAAUAUAAGACAUCAAAACAUGGAAUUAUCUAUACUAAUAUAAUAUGUAAAGACAAAAAUAAAGAGAUGAUCAAGCAAUGGUAAGGUCCUGUGGAGCUGAUGCAUCUAUGGUGGCCUCUUGAGUGGGUUGGAUAAGGACUUUGACCUCUGUUCUGGUAGUCUCCUUAGGUGGCAUAGUCUCCUCAACUGGAGCUCUCAGUUGGUAGCUAUGGGAUUUGAUGGUUUAAGGAGGUAAGAAAUGGAGUGAGAGGCUUGGUGUGUGUGAUCCCAGGGUAUGCAGGGCUCUCCUUUUCAGAUGCAUGUUUGCAGGGCUCUAUUGGCAUUUUAGUAACUUCCCUUGGCUUUGCAAAGUGUUUUUGCAAAUCACCCUCCAUUUCACAAGUCAAUUUUGCAAUUUAAAGUCCAUUUUGAAGCUUGGAGGUGAUUUCACAGCCCUUUCGAAGCUUGGAGAUCAUUUCGCAGAAAAGUGGCAUGUUCACUGACCAUUUUUGAAGCUUGGAGCAUUUUCGCAGCCAUUCUGAAGCUUGGAGAUCAUUUUGCAGAAAAGUGGCAUUUUCGCAGACCAUUUUUGAAGCUUGGAGCAUUUUCGCAGCCAUUUCGAAGUUUGGAGAUCAUUUCACAGGCAAUGGGCAAUUCCGCAGCCCAUUUCUGAAGCUUGGAGCAUUUUCGCAGCGGGGGGUGGAUUUCACAGAGGAGGGGAAUUCUCGCAGCCCAUUUCGUAGCUUAAAAGUAAUUUCAUAGCUCAAAGGUGAUUUCGCAGCCAUAUCGCAGCUUCAAAAUGAGGGGAACUGUGCUGCAAAUGGCACUCGUGUGCCAAAAAGUGGUUUCGUAGCUGCGAAACACCCUUCCAAAUGGCGUCUCGGCUGCGAAAUUCCCGUUCAGCUUUGCGCGCUUGUCUUCAAAUGACCAUAACUUCUUUAUUUCAAAUCCAAAUCGAGUACCGUUUGAAGCUAUGGACUCCUGACUUCCCAAGAUUUGAAACGAGAUAUCAUAUGCAUAAUUUGAGCUCCAGGAAGUGCUUCAAAAAUGUGUCCAACAGUAGCAAAAUUGAGGUGCGACAUUUCCGCUCAUGGUUUGCACAGUCAUCUUCAAACAGCCAUAACUUUUCUGUUUCAAAUCCAAAUCGAGCACCAUUUGAAGAUAUGGACUCCUGACUUCCCAAGCUUUCCAACGAGAUAUUGCAUGCAUAAUUUGAACUUCGGGAAGUGAUCGAGAUGUGCCCAACAAUUGCCAAAAUGAGGGUGCGGCUGUGAAAUUGGGAUUUUUCAAUUUUGGGUUUCGCAGCCAUUUUCGCAGCUGCGAAAUGGCACUCGUGUGCCAAAACCAGCUUCGCAAUUGCGAAAUACCCUGCGGAAUGGGGCUUUGGCUGCCAAAAAAAAUGAAUUUUUUUUUUUUUUUUUUUUUUGGUUUCGCAGCCAUUUUCGCAGCUGCGAAAUGAGGGUUACUGUGCUGCGAAAUGGCACUCGUGUGCCAAAAGUUGGCUUCGCAGCUGCCAAACACCCUUCCAAAUGGAGCUUUCCCUACGAAAUGGAGGAUUUCAUGCUUUGGUGGUUCGCAGCCGCUUUCGCAGCUGCGAAAUGGGGGCUCCUGUGCUGCGAAGUGGCACUCAUAUGCCAAAAUUGGUUUUGCAGCUGCCAAAAUUUUCGCAAAGAGGGCUAUUGGGUUGCGAACUGGUUUCGCAGCAAAAUUUCGAUUUCGUAGAGGCUGCGAUAUCUCGCAGACCCCUGUUUUUCCCCUAUUUCUCCCCUGUUUUCGCUCCGUUUGACUCCGAUUUUGCUCCGAUUUUUUUCCUUCAAUUUCUUUGCAAUUCCUCUUGAUUUUGAUCAUCCAAAAACCUAUAUUACAUCAAAACAAACUAGAAUUAAAACAUUUAAAUCAAAAUUAAAGCAUUGAAAUCAAAAUUAAAACAAGUAAAAAAAAAACAAAACAAAAAGAUAUGGACUAGCUAGUCUUUAAAAAGACUAAGUCCAUCAAAAAAUUUGCUCCUGAUUUAGCUUGCCCGGAUCCCAUAUGAAGCUUGCAUCUCUCACUUGGGGCUUUCUCUGUAUGAUUUUCUCAUACAAAGCUUGGAGAAAAGUUAGAGGCACGUGUUUCAUCAUCAAUUCUUCCUUGAUGACUAUCCUCUGUGGUUCUUCAUCUAUAUAGUCAUCUUUCUCUGUACUUUUCCCCUUUUUCUUUCCUUUGAUUUCCUCCCUCUUUUCUUUCUCUGUUUCACUAUCUACCUUAUGCUCUAGCUUGCAUGUGGGCAGAUCAACCUCUUUACCACUCCUCAGAGUGAUCACUUCUUCAAUUUCCUUCACCAUUGAAGAUUCUCCCUCUUUAGUCUCCAUUUCAUGGAUACUCAUGGAAUUUUGAUAAGGUUGAGAAGGAGAGUUUUCUUUCUCUUGCAUUGUUUUGAGGUUGGCAAACCUUGAGAUUGAAUCUUGGAGAAUAUCUAACUUCUGAGCCAUAUCAUUUUGCAUUACAUCCAUCCUUUAUUCAAAGUACUCUCCAUUCUGUCAAUUCUUUGAUUGAUUUGAGCAUUGAUGGCUUCUUGCUUUCCAAUAAAAUCUCCCACGACCUUGCAAAGAUUCACCAUAGCUUGUUCAAGGAUUGAGGCUUGCUGUGGUGCUUGAGCAGGUUGCUGAUACUGAGGUGGCUGUGGUUUCCAAGAGAAAUUUGGAUGGUCCCUCCAAUUGGAAUUGUGGGUGUUGCAAUCACCAAACAUUUCCCUCUCGGAUGGAAUGGUAGGACACUCAUCCACCAAGUGCUCAUAUGAUCGACAAAUGGCACAAGGCAUAGCUUGCAAUGGUGUUUAAAAGAUGGUUUGCACUUCUUGCAUCUGGUUCAUUUCUAGCUCAUCCAAUCUCCUUUCCAUAGCUGCAAUCUCUGCCUUCAUGUCCAUGCCGUCAUUCAAAAUAUACAUCUCACCCUUAGCUUUAGGUUGAGACGUCAUUCUUCCCAUAUCUCUAGCAUUUGGUUCAUCCCAUCCUCUUGAAAAUUCAGCCACAUAACUCAUGAAGUUCAUGGCUUCCUCUGCUAUGUGGUUCAAUAUGGCAUGCACAACUAGCAAUUUGUGAUUUAAAAACAGAGAACACAAAAGAAAACAAAAGAAAAACAAUUCAAAGAAAGAAAAUUAAGGUAAACUAAAGACUAAAUAAAAGGUAUACUAAAAUAUGAACAACAAAGAAAUAAAAAGGGUUAGUGAAAGGAAAAGAAAAGUCACCAAACUUGUGAUGAAGAUCACAAGUACUCUAGAAAGGUGCAUUGUAAAGUGGCACCAUCCCCGGCAACAGCGCCAUUUGAUUCGUGCCCACUUGGUGUCUCAGCUGAUUCGUGUCCAGCUGGUGCUCCUUGAUUGAGGGAGUAAUCAACAAAAUUUAUAACCUAUUACACCAUGAACUAGGGUAGCAAAGACAAAGCUACUAUAGCAUAGUGGCUCUAGGAUCGUUCACUGGGAUGGGUUUUCACUUCACAAAUGAUAUCAAUUCAAAGCUGAAUUGGUGCCUUUUCAUUUCAAGGUUAGCUUUAAAAGAAAACAUAAAGAUGUUUAAAUGAAAAAGGUUUGGUUUUAAGCUAACAAAAAAUAGUAACUAAUUUUAACUACAAAGAAAAGUGUUUCUUGGAGUUCAGAUCACUAGGCUCGUUCCUCAUACAAAAUGGAGAGUUCCGGUCACUUGUUUAUUUUCCUCGCAUUAGAGAAUUAACAUAUAGUUAAUUCUCUAACCGGUGUUGUACAGAUGCUUCCCAUUAAUGGGUUCAAUCACUAAAUCCCUCUCACUGAUGCAUCUUACAAUGACUCAUACCUCUCACCUAGCACUUGCCAUUCAAGGUGAUCUUUAACCUUGGAUUACCCGUCAAAAGCUUGCAAGAGAUAACUAAUGGAUGUCUCCUUGGAGUCCAAAAGCUUACCAAGUGUUGGCUAUUCUAGAAAAUCCUACCUUCAAGUCACCUCCCAAAGGCUCGCAAGGGGUAAACUAGUGCAUUUCCAUGGUUGGAAAUCACUUGCCUUACCAAGUGUUGGCCCAGGUGAUUUAAAGGCGUUUUAAGUUAACUAAAAACAUAGAAAUCACUAACGGGUCACACUUUCUCUUCAUUAAAAACUAAAACAACAAAACUUCCAAAUUAUGCAUGUGGAAACUUACCCGGCUUUCCUCACUCCAAGAGACAAAAAGCUUAGCCUCUCAUCCUCUGUGGAAAAAUCCUCAAAGUUUGGUUGGCUAGAAAUAAAAAUAAAUGAAAAAUGAAAGAGAAGGAAAAACAGAGCAAGACUCUGUAUAUUCUAUAUAUGAUAUAUGAUUACAGUGGAUGCAAAGGAAUUUAUAUAGAGAUGUUUUUCCAACCUUCCUAACUAAGAAAUCUUAUGGUUCGUGGCUUACAAGGAGAAGAAUGGAAAUUUAUACAAAAAUAUCUGAAGAAAAAUAUCCAAAAGAGUCGGUGCAAAAAUAUCGGGAAGCUCCAGGAACAUUUCGCAGGUGAAAAUGGUGUCUGCGAGAUUUCGCAGACACUCAAGAGGGCUGCGAAAUAUUUUCGCAUCAACAAGUUAUUCUCGUAGGGCUGUGAAGUUGGCUUCCACCUUGAUGUUCUCAGCUUCCAGCUUGCGGCAUAUAUCGGGCAACUUCAGGAGGAAUUCCAUAGCACUGUACAAAAAGGCUGUGAAAUUCUCGCAACAAAAGGCUGAUUUCGCAACACUUUGGAGUGAUCUGCUUGCAAUGGCUGUAACUCCUUCGUUUCAACUCCGAAUCACGCACCGUUUGAAGCAUUGGAUUCUUGACUUCCUGAUCUUUGAAAUGGUAUAUAGAAUGUAGAAAAUGGACUUCGGUAAGUUCUCCAAAAGUGUGAAAGAAGACUGCAGCUAGCUUUCCUCUGUUUUCUUCACUCUGUUUUUCCUCUCUCCAGUGCUCUUUCCUUGCAUACUUUGAACGACUUUGGCAAAGGGCUAUGGAGCUCCAAAGCUUGGUUCUUCAUGAAUUUGAGCUCUUCAUUGCUUUGCCAUGGAUUCCAAAUAACUCUCCUCAAUCUUGGAUUGUUUUGGUGAUCAAAUUACUAACAAAAACACCAAAACUUACACAAUUUGAUUAGAAAUGAUUGCAAGGGUCCUUAACAAGUUAAUUGGGUUAAAAGGCAAUAACUACUACUCAAAAGUGUUUAAAAGGAUUAAUUACAAGCUAUCAAAUAGCACUUUUUGAGUAGUAAUCACCUAUAAUUAGUGGUCGUUCUACCAUCAUUGUUCAUAAAUCGUGGUUACAAGCACAUCAUUAUCUAUUAGAGAAUACAACUAUCGUCCAACCAUACACUGAGUAAGAAAAACAUACCUUUAUCUUUUUAUAAUUUCAUAACAUAAUGAUGAAAUCCUAAGUUUGCAUUCCUUGUCUUUAACGUCAUAGGGAACACAUGAAUUGGUUGAGGUCUCAAUACCCUCGACAAUCUAAUAGACAAAUUUGGUUGCAAGAAGAACAUAUGAGUUGUUUUACAUAUUGGCUUAAAGAAACGGUAAUCUCUUAGUUUUUAGAAAAAUUUUCAAUAUGUUGAAAACAUCACAAGUUUUCAAUAUGUUUUGAUUAUACAUAGGUUGAAGAGGCUAUCCAUAAUGGGCAAGAUAUUCCCGACACACUUAGGUGGUUAGCACAUGGCCCUACUCUCCAGGUAGUCAAAUAUCCUAGAUAUAUCGUUAAUGAGUGUCGUUACCAUAUUAAGAAACGCGAUAUGACAUGCAUCACCCAAAAUAGUGGUGUUAGCAUUUUAGCAAGGACUAUGCAAAUUGCCAAUUCUAAGGAUAAGAACCUAGUUUGUGGUGAACUUUGCUUUUAUGGGGUCAUUAAUGAGAUAUGAAAUCUUGAUUACAACAUGUUCACAAUUCUAAUUUUCAAGUGUGAUUAGGUUGACAACAAGAAUGGUAUAAAAGUUGAUGAACUUAGGUUCACAUUAGUUGACUUCUCCAAAAUAGGUCACAAAUUGGAUCCAUUUAUUUUAGCAUCACAAGCCAAGCAAAUCUUCUAUGUUGAAGAUCAACUUGAUCCUAAAUGGUCAAUAGUUCUCUCAAUUCCUCCAAAAGAUUUCAAGAACAUAGAAGGACUAGAUGACUUCACCAAUAAUUGCAUGGAACAUCACCCCUUUAUAAGUUCAAUGCCAGAAUUUGAAUCAUUUGAUGCUAUGGAUGAAUCAUAGGCAAUACACAUGAGAGAAAACUGUGAGGGCAUAUGGAUUGAAAAUAAUUAAAUAACAUAUUGUACCCUUGAAUGAGAUAUAAUAAGGCAUUUCACUUAUUAGUUUUCAUGAGUUGCACAUUAACUUAGCUUCUAUAUAUUGCUCAUGAUAUAUCUAUAUAUAUUAAUCAUCCUAAAUUUCUUUCAUGCAUCAUAAACAUAUGUUAUUCAAAGGUACCACUUCAAUCUUCAUUCAACUAUCUUUUUGUUGUCCAUAGAACUAGAUUUAUAUUAUUUUUUAUUAUCAUGUUUUGAUUUUAUGCUCACAUAACUUGAAACUCUCAUUCCUAAAUUUCUUUUUCAUUAAAACUAUAAAUCAUAAUUGAAACUAUGCACUAAUUUAUUUUAUUAUUAUCCUCACAAAUAAAUUCUUCAUUAUUGAUAAGAAAUCAAAAAACAAGACAAACUUUGAAAGAAAAUUUCAAAAAAUAUAUUUGUGAAUGACCAAUUUAAUUAUAGAAAAUAUAUGCAAGGCUAUACUAAUCUUGCUUUUGAGUCAUUUUACAGGUUUGUUGGUGAAGUACUAGUUUGCACAUUUACUUGAUAUCUUCCACACAAAUAUGGAUCUAGAAGAAGGGGAAAUGCCAAAAAUAAAGCAUAGAGGUAGUGCAUUGAAACCAAAGAUUGCAAAAAAUCGAAGUAAAGGGAUAAAGCUCAAGAUUGAAUACAAUAGCCUUGGUAGUCACAUUGAGGAAAAUUCAGUUAAACUAAGUAGUUAUCUUAGUACAAUAACUAGUACCCAUGUGCCAAUAAUUAUUGAGAGUUGGAGGAAAGUCCCUAAAGAGACUAAGGAGAAGUUGUGGGAUUUGAUCACGGUAAGCCUAUCUAUAGCUUUAAUAUAUAAUUAUUGUAUACAUUCAUUAACAUGAGCUAACAUGGGUUGCUAUUUUGUAGACAAGCUUUAAUGUGAAUAAAAAAUCCAAGAGGAAUUGUUUCAUACUAAUGGGCAUCAGGUUUCGAACCUUUAAGUAUAAGUUGACAAAGAAAUAUAUAUUGUCUUUCAAGAAUGACCAAAAAAGCUGAAAAAGUCACCUCCUAUUUGCCCAUUCAUACAAGAGGAUCAUUGGAGACAGUUUGUUAAAGAUAGACUUUUUGAACAUUUUAACGUUAAGCAUUAUUUUUAUUACAUCUUCAAUUUUCACAUUUACAUAGUUUCAUUAUGUACUAAUUUUGUGUCUAUAUUUUGUAGGAAUAUCGCAAAGUUCAAAAAUCAAGAAGAGAUAAACACAUUUACAAUCAUUAUCUUGGAAGAAAAUGAUAUGCACGUUUUGAGCAAGAUAUAGUAAGUUAUCAAUAUCCAUAAAAAAAAUGGAGUAUAUAUUUUGUUUAUAGGAAAAUGAUUCUAGUUUUUAAAUAUCAUUUAUUAACUUGAUCAUGUUGAACUAAUGAGUUUUAUUGUUAAAAAUUUUAUAGCUACAAGCAGAAGGGGCUAUUGGUAGGGUUGAUAGAAGUGUUUAUGAAAGAAAACACGUGAGAAGAAAGGAAAGUUUAAUAAGAUUACAAAGCUAAUGAUUAACUAAGUUAGCAUAUUUAUCUCUUUUAGAGCCUAUAAUGUUAGUAUGUCUAUGUGAUUAUGGUUUAGGAUGAUAUCGUUAGGUGUUAAUAGGGAAGAGGCUUAAUGCUAUCAUUUUUAUGAGUAGUCAUGUUCUAUUAGUGCAAAUAUAGUAGCCUAAUUUGAAAAUUAAUUUUGAAACAAUAUACAUUAAUUUAUCUAUUAUCAUUUUUAUUAAAACAAUUCAUUUUCUAGCUACCUUGAAUUGGUCCUCUUGAAUUGGUUGUCUUUGAUUGAUAUGUUAAUCAUCUUCAUCAAAUUAUUACUAAUAUAUGUUUUGUUGUAGGAUGAAUUACUAGAAAAGGCAAGGAGACUGGACUACCUCCACCUGGUCCAAAUGACAUAUUAUGUCAGGCAUUGGGUAAGCUUGAUCAUCUAGGACGUGUGGUAGGUCAAGACCACUUGGUUAGGCCGAACUCAUACUUUCAUCAACCAUUUGAUGACAUGAAAAAAAAUAAUCAAAGAAGAAAUAUGGGAAAUGGUGUGAAAGGGGAUGCAAAAUGCUGUAACAAGACAAACUAUGUCUCCUCCCACACCCCAUUCUGAUAUAGGUAGUAAUAACAUGAGACAACAACUUGUUUUACAACUAGUUGUAGCAAAAAAACCAAUGUUUAAAAUGAUGGAAGAGCCCUAACCACCAGAACCACCACUGAAACGUAAGGUAUACAUUUACUUACUAAUAAUACAAGAUUAAUAUAAGUGAUAUAUAGCCUAUGUAAAUGAUAUUAUUUGUUGUAUUAAAGGUGAUUAAAUAUAAAUUAGCAGUGGAAUGAAAAUGAAAUGUUGUUGCAACCAGUACAUUAAUAGAAGAAAAUUGAUCAAAUGGGUUGGUCGUAAUAAAUGUUGCACACAAGCUAGAUGCUAGACUCCCAUUUCCAAAUCCAUAUGAGAUUAUCAAUGUUGGGGAUUCUAUUGGCCUUAAGCUUGACUGGCCAACAAGCCUUGUCAUACUUGAAACUAAACAUCCUCGGGUAUGUCAUUUUAUACUUGUAGUAAAUUUGAUUGUAACUUGGUAUUUUAUUGUUUAGGAGUAUAUAUUACUAACAUUCCUUCAUUUUUCAUAAGUGUUGGAUAAAGGAAAGAAGUAGAUAGUGAAUGCACCAAUUAUUCGAAAAUCUAAGCCUCAAAAUUAUUCGGUCAUUAAAAAUUUUCAGAAAUUUAUGGAUGGUUGUCUUAGUAAUGAGAAGACAUACCCAAUACAACUCCCCAUUUCACUAUUUGGUGUCGAAUUCCGAACAUAUAUAUCUAGAGAGGAUUGUGAAUACAUUAUUUCAUCUUCAGAGGUGUCAUCAAAAUGCAUCUCCUUCCACUUAUGGUGUGCACCUUUUAUUUUCAUUUGUUUUUAUUUUUUUAAUAUGAGUUGCCCAUGUUGAACAAGAUUGGAUAUGACUAAUGAUAAUUUUCUUUUGGUGUUUUGAUAAUAUAAUAGGUACAUGCAUGAUCAACUACAUAUUGCCAAAAAGGAAUCACAAUUUAUAUUUGUUAAUCCUUUUACAAUAUCAUGAGCAGGCUUUAGUAAUCCUCAAACAGAGAAAAGAACACAAUUGUUGUCAAAACACUUAAUAGAGUGCCAAGAUGUCGGAUAUGUUUUCAUGCCCUACAACCCCGAGUAAGUGACGAAUAUUAUACUUUAAUUUGAGGUUUUAUGAUUGAUUUAUAUUUAUAAUUAGAUGCUACUUUUGUUUUUAAUGUUUUAGCUUUCAUUGGGUCUUGGUAGUGAUUGAGCCAAGGAAAAUGAUAGUCCACUAUCUUGACCCUAUGCAUCACAAACCAUGUGAGGACUUAAAGGAUAUCGUAAACAUGUAAGUUCUUCCUAUUAUUUUUCAUAGUAUUAUUUUAAAAAAAAUUACAUUCACCUCAAACACAUUUUUUAUUGUUAUUUCUAUAUAUUAAAACAUAUAAUAUUUACCUAUUUUAAAAUUGUACCCAUUGAACUUAUUUACAUAGGGCUCUUUAAAUAUAUGCAAAGAAAAUAUCUAAGAGAGAGCCAUCUUGGCAACUAGUGCAAGUAACAUCCAAAAAUUUUCUUUACACAUUUAGCUUAUGCAUUUGCACCAUUUAUAUAUAUGAGUACUAAUGUUAUUUUAUAACUGAUCGAUUAGUGUCCAAGACAAGAAGGAGGGUUCAAAUGUGACUACUUUGUUAUGAGAUUCAUUAAAGAGAUAAUUUUUUAUCCUACAAUGAUUGCUUCAAAGGUAUUACUUAUUUAAUGACUUGUACAUAUUUUUAGGCUUCCAAAUGUUAUGCAUUUUAAUGUUAUUUUCUUAUUUGAUUUCAGUUUGGUGAUAAAAAAAACAUAUUAUCAAGUAGAAUUCAAUGAAAUUAGAGGAGAAUUGACUACUUUUGUGCUACAACUAAUCAUGAAUCAUGUUGAUGCAUCAUGAUCACCAUGCAUGGUGAGUCCCUUAGCUACUACAUGAAUUUUUCCAUAGAUUAUAGUAUUGCUUUUCUUUGAACAAUGUUUUUAUUUGAAAAAAAGAAAAAAAAAAGUUCUUAGAUUUGUUCAUUUAUGAUAACAUCGAUCCAUAUUUAUUUUCUUCAAUNNNNNNNNNNNNNNNNNNNNNNNNNNNNNNNNNNNNNNNNNNNNNNNNNNNNNNNNNNNNNNNNNNNNNNNNNNNNNNNNNNNNNNNNNNNNNNNNNNNNGGUAUACACUCUUAGGAGGGUGGAAUAGAGAAUAAAAAGAACAAAGAAGGCAACAAGAUUUUGGGUUUUUAAAUGCAGCUCGUAUGUCAUACAUUGUAGGACAUAAACGUUACUUUAAUUGGUAGUGAGAAUUUUAGAUUUUUAGAUGCUACUUUUAUGUCAUUUUAUAGUUAGUCGGUUUUAUGCUUAUGAAAUGAAGGUAUACAUGAAUCUUGGGAUGCUUAACAUUACUAGAUCAUGUUUUGGUAUGUAUUCACUCUUCUUUUUUAGUUUUGGUGGGUUUGAUAUAUUGGAUGUACUAUCUUUUUGUGAACAUUUGAUAUACAAAUAUUAUUAGAUGAUCAAUGUAUUACGAGUUAUUCCAUAAACAUUACUGAAAAAUGAGUUAAAUGUAAUAUGAUUGUUAUAUUUAUGGACAAAAUAUACACAGGUUAAUCCUAUUUGUUAAUUCAUAAGCAUUACAAAAAUCUACAACUAAAAGCAAUCAUAUCUUCCAUGAUAAUUUACAAUGAUGUGACACCAUAACUCAAAGGUGAUGCAUUUAAUGUGACAUCAUAACUCAAAGAUCAUGCAUUUAAUGCGACAUCCUAUCAUCACUAGAAAUAUAUGAUGUCACUUUCGAAUGCGUUACCAUUUAUCUACUUUGGUGUCACUUACAAAUACGUCACCAAUUGGUACCCUCUAUGGUGUCAGUGGAGAAGGUGACACUAUGUUGUAGUGACACCCUAUGUUUAUGGUGACUCGUUAUAAAUGUCACCAUAUAUCUUUUUUCUUGUAGUGCAAAUUACUUAUCUUACUAUGCAUUGGGCUUUGAUAUUAGCCAGAGACAGUAGUGGCUCCUAAUUUUUAUCCUUAACUGAAAUGAAAACGUUAAGCAGGUCCCCAGCCUCUUUUUCGCCAUUCUUCCACUAUUCUACUAUUUGGUCCAUGAUUGGAUCAUGGUACUUGUUAAUGGUGUUCAUAGCCUCCCAUAUAGUCUUUUCAUGGCCAUCUAAAUUCAGCACUCUCUGCCAUGGGAAGUAAUCAGAUAAAGAGAAUACAUAUAGAUGAGCAAGUAUAGUAAAGAAGGAUUCAACAUGUUGCUCCACUUCAACUCUAGGGCCUCCAUCUUUCUUUCGUUCGCCAAAGUAUCUUGUGUUGAGGAUCAUCUUUCAGAUGACAUUCCCGUUGUAUUGACGGACUUUAUUUCUGUCACACCCCAAAUACUAGGCAACCCAGAACUUGACUCGUGGCCCUAGGUCAAAGGUUUGACCCUAAGAGUUACUCUUAUCCAUGUUGGCAAUCAAUCAAAACACCCUAGAUUUUUUUUCUUUUCAAUAAAGCGUUUAAUCCUAAAUAAAUUUAUUAAGCUAAGAUUUACUAUAACAUAUCAUUUUAUUUUUCCAAAACUAACCAUCACAUUAUCUCCUGUUCACAAGUAUUAAAAAAAUAAAAUUCCACCAAUCAUCUUCCUACCCAAAAGCUCAAAUAUUUACAAUAAUCUCUAAGUCAAAAAGAAUAUUUCCAAAAAUGUUUUACAAACUAAUAAAAUAUAAUUUAACUUAAAAAGGUCCAUAUAACUCAAAUUAGUAGAUGUCAAAAAGGUAAUUAAAAAAAAACAACAACCAUUAUUAUGGUUUUUUUGCUUUUUAGAACACUUCAUGAUCUUCUUAUGGUCCCUUAGAAACUAUAUCUGCAUCUAAAAAUUUUAGAAAAUAAAGGGAUGCACAUUUCCACGUUACUCUUUAGACCUAGACGAGUUAGAAAUUCUAGGUCAAUAAAACACAACCAUAUGCCAAAAUAUAAUAUUACAUUUACAUUAUACACACUAAAAGAAACCUCAACCAUACAAAUUUAAAUCAAUCAAAAUUAUCAUUUUCCUUAUUUAAUCAUAUGUUUAGCAUAUCAAUAAUUUUAAAUUUACAAAAUAAAUAAGUCACUUUAGUCUUGAAUAAUAUAUUCAAACAUACACUUGAUAAAUAAUACAAAUCAUUUUUCCAAAUGCAACCAUGAUACAAAUGCUUACACACAAUCGCGCAAUGCAAUAUCGUUCUCGGGCUUUCACCGAAGGAUAUGCAUUUAUACCCAAAUACACUCCCCAUUCGGAGUCUUCCUGGGAUAAACUUUUGAGUAUUUCACCCUAAGGAUCUCACUCCCUUCUUAACUCACCAUCUCUAGGGUCAUUCAAUUUCUUAUUUUUCUUUUCUUUUCAUUUUUGCCAUUUUUGGGGUCUUUUCAUUCUCAUUUCCAUUUCACACAACCAUUUCUUUAAUUUUUCUUUUUCUUCACACAAUCAUGAUGCAUAUGAAAUGCAAUUGAAUCAUAUUUUAACAUACAUAAUUUUCCAAGACAUAAUUUUAUUUACUCCCAUUAUGUUUCAUAAUUUCCAAUAAUCCACACAACGAUUUUUCUUCACUUUAAUCGUCACAAACAUAAAAGAAAAUUCACAAUUAAUUUGUAUAGCAUCAAAACAUAGUUUUAAACAUUGACCACAUAAAUUCUAUUUAUUCCCGACAUGCUUAAUAAUUUCCAAAUCCAAUAUAACCAUUUUUUUUCAAUUAAAUAAUCACACAUAUCCAAGAAAAUUCUCGCUAAUACAAAUAUCAACGAAAAUGUAAUUUAUGUCAUAAUUUAUUUGUCUCCAAUAAUUUCAAAAAUUUUGACACCCAUAUGACAAAUUUCCACAAUUAAGCCACCCCAACAUUUGGGAAAAAUUUUCCAAUAAUUCAAAUAUCAACAAAAACCCAAUUUAUAUCAUCAUUUUAUUUAUUUUUAAAAGCAUUAAUAAUUUUAAUAAUCAAUACAACACUUUUCCACAAUUAAGCCACCACAACAUUCUGGGAAAAUUUUCCAAUAAUUCAAAUAUUAACAAAACACAAUUAUACCUUAGUUUUUCUUAUCUCCAACAACAUCAAUAAUUCUUAGUACUCAAUACAACUAUUUUUAUUUUUUCAUAUUUAAUCUUCUCAAACAUUACCAAAAUUCCAAGAAAAAUCUAUAAAUCACGAAAUAAAAUUAUUCACAAUAAUAAUCACACUUCAAAUACUACAAAUAACAUCUAUUAUAUUUCAACAACACAAUAUAUAAAUUUUUUUGAAAGAAAAUAUUAAAUCAAAGUUUUAGGGUUAAAUCACCCUACCUUAAAUUUGAAAAUUUUAACCAUUAAAACUAAAACGGGACACCGUAGGAGUGUUCCUUGCAUUGAAUAGAAUAUCCUUCCAAAAUUUCAUGCGAAAUGGACGUCAUUUGGUAGGUCCACCAGCAUCCUAAAGCUGGCGACCCAUUUUUCCCACUCUUUGCUGAUGACUCCCCUACAUCUCUCACUCGAUUUCCUUUCUUCAUUUUCUUUUCUUCUUCUUCUUUUAAACUCCCACGCCAAUUUCACUUUAUAUAUAUAUAUAUAUAUAUAUAUAUAUUAUUAAAACAAAUCCUAAAAUACCACGCACAUCCAUUUCUCAAUAAAUUAAAACCAUUAUUCUUAAAUUCAUCUUCCGUAAUUAUGAAUUAUACCAAACUUAUGAUUUUCCAUUUCACGAAAAAUACCACCGUAUUCGUAAUUUAAUUUACUACAAGUCUACUCUUCAAAAAGUAUAAUUUGAUUAUAAUUACAUGAAACAUUGUUUUUUUACUCUAAAAUUCAUUUAAAACAUGAUAUAAUUAACUAUUAAAAAAAUUUAAUUCCAUAAAAUAUUAAAAACAUAAAAUAAUUUUUUGGCAAUCAAGAAGUUGAAAUUUGUAAUAACCUUUAACCUGUUAAUUUUACCUAUAUUUAUUUACCAACAAAAAUUUAAAUAAUAUUCUAAAAUUUAAUUCCAUAAAUUAAUUAGUCAUUCAAUUUAUAAAAAUCAAAUUCUCUACCCUUUGGUAUAACUUUUAUUUAAUUUACUUCAUUUUUCAAAUUAUUCAAUCGCAUCAAAAUUUCAAAAGUUAAAUUCACUAAAUUCACAUUUAAUUAAUUUAUCCUUUUGUAUUUUUUUUUUCUAAAUUCGCAUAUCAUAAUUUAAUCUUAAUUUAAUUUUGAUUCAAUUUUGUUUUAUGUUUUCUAAUUUUAUGAGGUUUAAUUUCAAUUAUAAAAAUUAAAUUCAAUUUCUUUUUAAUUAUCCAUUAUCACAAUUUGAUAUAAUAUAAUUUUUUAUCAAGUUUUUCUUACUACGAUUUUUCUUAUAAUUAUCCAAUGAUAAUUAAAUUAAUUCUCAUAACAUAUUUAAUAUUCAAAUUUUAAAAACUUAAUCUCAAUUAUUUGAUGGUUAAUUUUUUUCUCAAAAUCUAAAUUUAAUUUAUGAAAUUCUCACUUCUUACAUCUGACGUGGCAAAAUUUUCAAACUAUUGACUUUUGACCAACUUUUCCUAAAUUUAUCCUAAUUAAAUACUAACACAUGGAUUUUCACCACUCUUUUUGACCUUUUGACCCACAAAUUUAUGAAAGACUUUAUGCUUGGAGAAUCUACAAAAACCUGGGUAUUACAAUUUCUCAGGUUGAUAACUGUCGUGGUUACGAAGCCACCACUUGAAUCCUCAGUCGCCAUUGUAAUGGGCCUGGAUGCAAAUAGUACAUCAUGUUUCUUCAAAAGUUCUCUGCUAAUCUCUGGGAAAGUCGUAGGGACGAAAUGAAAUAUUUCCCAAUUGAAUACAUGCAAUUUUAGUGUUCAUUUCUUUCAUAAAGCCAAUGUAUCCACCAGAAAGUUGGCUUUUUGUUGAGUAAAUGAGGUAGAUAUUGCACUAGUGGCCAUGGAGCUAAUCCUGGAGGAAGUUGUAUCGGCUUGCUUUUGGUACUUGUUUUGGAAUUUAAUUUAGUGAAGAUGAGAAAGAUUGAUGUGAUGAAAAGCAAUAAGAGGAAGUUGAGAUGAGACAACACAUCGUCUGUGGUAGUAGAAGAAAACAAGGUUGAGUUACUGCUACUACUCUCUGCAACAAAACCAUUUACACGUCUUUUAUAGCAAAACCAUGUUUGUCCUAUCUUGGGUCUGGAUGCACAUUUUUAAUAUUGGGGAUCAUGCAACCAAAUGUCACACACAAAGAGAGAGAAAAAAAUACGUUUUUUAGAACUUGAAAAGGUAAAAUGGGACAAAAAAUAUUAUCCAUUCUUGAACUCUAAAAGUAAAGUUAUAAAAAGCUUAGGUGGUGUUUGUUUUUUUACUUAAUUCUAAAUAGAACCUUAAUGCUUAAUAGUGUUAAAUAUUAGGUUGUUUGUUUUUGUAGUAUUUUAUUUCUAUUAAGUAUUAAAAAGUAAAAAAACCAAUAUGUUAUUUUUUCUAUUAAGAAAAAGUUACAUAUUUUGACUUUUUCUAUUUAGUAAAAAGUUUAUAAUAAGUCAUGAAAAAGUAGAAAAACAAACAACUUAAAUUUUAAAACUAAAUUGCUUUCAGCAAAAAGCCAAAAAAACAAACACCACCUUAGUUUUUUUUUUUUUUUUUUUUUGUUAUGUAUGAUUACAUGAUUUCCCCCUUUUAAGAUUUUAUCUCAUAAAAUUUUUUUUCUAGAAGGUUCAAAUAAGUUUGAUGAAUAUUGUUUAUUUUAGUAAUUUUAAUUUUGUGGGGUACUUAAAACAUUAGAAGUUCACAAAAAGCAACAUUUAUCAGCUACCUAUCUAAAAAGCUUGGCCUAAUCAUUGAAAUCCAAAAUAUAAAGUGACAACACACUUUUUAAAGCAAUUUUCAAAAUAGUUUUCAAAAACACAUUUAUUUAUGAUAUUUUUAAAAUAAAAAUCUCAAAAAUAACUUGUUUAUAUAGCGUUUUAUUAGACAAAUACUUGAUCUUUAUAAGAUCACCCUAAUUAUAGAUUUAUGAACAUGUAACACAACAAUUAUCUAUAUAUAUACUUAGAAUUAUUAUAUUUUAAGUUUUUAACUACAUAGGACAUCGUGAGUUUUUCCACCAUUUAUCUUAUAAAAAGUUUAUUUAAAUAUGAUAAAGGAUAUAUUAUCUCAUUUCUUAUUAUAUCUGAUGCUAUAUAUAUAUAUAUAUAUGUAACAGAUCAAAUACAAUUUAAAGAUUUUAAUUAACCAUCUAUUAGCAACAAAGCAAUCUCUUAAUCUCAUUCAUAAUAUUAGGAUAAUUUAGUAUUUCCUUUUAUAAAACACUAGCAUAUAAAUCAACACAAAUCAUAUUAAGGGUGUAUUUGGUGUUGAUUUUAGGAAGCGUUUUUAGUAUUUCUAAUACUUGAAAGAUAAAAAUUUUCAAGUUUUAGAAAGAUCAAAAGCGCUUUUUAGAAUGACUAUCAAAUACAUGCUAAAUAUUACUUUUGGAUACUUAUAUUUUUAAAUAACUCUUAAAACUUUUAAGGCAAGUCUCUACUAUUUAUAUAAAUCCCCUAUUAUUUUUAAUUUUUAGAAACAAAAAAUAAAGAAUAGAAACUCCAUUUAAACAUCACCUUAUUAUUUCCUAUUAUAAAAUAACACAAAUCAAAUGAAUUAUUUAAAAAUAAAUAAAUAUAAAAUCAAAGUUGAAGAGAAAAAACUCUUGUGCAUUAAAAAAACAUCAAAAUAAAUAAAUAAAUAAAACAUCAUCAAAUAAAUGUAAAAAUAAAUUAAUGUUAUGGAAAAAUGAGAAUAGGCAACAAGAAAAUAAGAACACAGAUUUACAUGAAAAAUGCUAGACGGGAAAAACCAUGGAUAGAGGAGAAGAAAAUCCACUAUAUUAAAAAUUUGGUAUAAAAUGUGAGAGAAUCAAGCGACUAUUGUAUAGGCAUAAUCACUAUGACCCUAAAUCCUAUACAUCAUCGCAUAUGUAUGGUGUAUGCGAUAAUAUUUGUGAUAAUAAAAAUAUUGUCACAUAAAAUAACUAUGGGAUGUAAUAUUUGUAAUAAUAUUCUUUACAAAAAAAUAUUUUUUCUUUGCUUUAUUCACUUUGAUCACAACUUGAAAUAAGACAAUAAAAAUAUUUUCUUAAUUUUUGAAAAUUAAUUGAGGACUUAGAGCUACUUGUUACUGAGUGAAUUUGCUGAAUGGUGAAGAAUGCGUGUAUAGUAGUUUUGCAAUUUUUCAAACUUGUAGACAUAUUUUGUGAAGUCUUUUUCUCUUUGUAAAGCCCCAUUUUCUAUGUGAAGUUAUUUUUUCAAUAUUCUCUUUGGAAGGAAUUUACCAUUAGUUAUAUAGGUAAGAUUAAGGAAUUAAAUUUGGAAUUCUUAAGAUUUGAUUACUUAAUUCAAAGAAUUUGGUUCAAGGGAAAUUUGCCAACAAAAUAAUAUUUAAUUUUAAUUCUAUGAUGACUUUAAUUAUUUGAUAUAAUUUUAUUUUGAAAGACUUGAUGUGGGGGACUCAUCACUUAUUGAGUCCAAAUUUUGUUGCACCCAAAUUUUUAUGAGCUAAGAAACCAUAAUUUUAAAGACCAAUUCAGUGGUAAGUAAAUCUGCUAAAAUCUUCUAUGUACAAAUGACCUCACUUCAAGGUGCAACACAUACAUGUAUUAUUAUGUGUAUGGGAUGAGUCUUGAAGUUAGUCUUCAUUCUUCUUUGAUUUUUUUUUCUUCAAAUAAAUAAAUAAAACAUCAUCAAAUAAAUGUAAAAAUAAAAUAUGUAUCAGUUAAUUGGAGAGGAGAGCUUUAAGGGCAUUUCUUCUAUGAAAUUCUAUGCUCCACGUACCAUAAAUUUGUACUCAACCAACAAAAUUACAGAAUGGGUCCAUGCACAAACAAAAAUAACCCAAAUGUGAAUAUCUAAAAAUGUAUGAAGUUCACAAUAGAUAUUCAAGCCCAAAUUUAAAUUUCAAAUUAGUCCAACAGAUUUCAUUAAUCAAAAUGGGUCCAAAUUAGCAAAUAUAACCCAACAAAAAUAUCUCAUAUGUCAUAGGCCCUAAUUUAAAAUUUUCAAAUUAAUAGCCAAAAUAUAAGUUCAAUUAAUCAAACCCAAAACAUGAUAAAUUAAAAUAAAUCUCAUUAGGCCUAAACUUAAUAUCCCAUAAUUCAAGCCUAAUUUAAUAUAUAAACCUAAAUCCACAAUCAAAAUCAACCCAAUUUAUGCUAAUCCCGAUUUACAAUCAAAAUCAAACAUAAUUUAAUAAGUAAAUAACUAAAUAAAUUAAGCAAACUCAAAACACCCAAACCACUACAACAUAAAUCAAACAAUAAUAAAUAUAAUGACAACAAUAAUAAUAAUAAAUAAAAUAAAAUAAAAUAAAAUAAAAAUAAAAAAUUUAACUCACGUCGGAGCCAGUUUGAAUGUCUUAGGAAAGAAAGAAAAUGAGAGAAAAGUGAGAGAUGAUUGACAACUGACAGUGGCUCACUAGCGGCAACUGGUUAGUGGUCCUACCGAUGGUAGUGAGGAUUGAUUGGUUUUUGGGAAAAAAAAUAAAAUGAAGAAAAGAAAAUGAGAAGUAAUAAAAAAAAUGGAGAAAUGAGAGGAAGGUGGGAGAAGAAUGGAGAGAGAGAACGUAGAAAAUGAGUGAAAAGAAAUGAGGCUAGUUGGAGGAGAAAGUGGUAGUGUGUGAGCUAAAGUGAAGAAUAAUAGAAGAAGAAAAUGGAGAAGAAUGGGGAAAAAAAAAUCCGUCUCCCUAAAUGAAGAAAGGUGGGUAGCCUAAAGAAGAAGAAAAAAUAAAAUAAAAUAAAAUGGGGAGAAAAUGAGAGGGGGUCGGUGGUCUUGCGAAUGAGGUGGUAUGCGUUAGAGAGAGAGAGAGUGGGUGGGGUUGUUGGGGUUGUUGGGGAAGGUAUGAGAGAGAGAGGAGAGAGAAAAGAAAAAAAAGAAAGAAAAGAAAAAAGAUAAUAUAAAAUAAUAAUAAUAAUAAUAAAAUAAAAUAAUAUACAAAAUAAUAAAAACUAAUAAUUAAAUAGUGAGUGGGCAAAAAAUAUCAUAUGUAAUCAAGAUUUAAUUUUAAGAGUAAAAUUGGGUUAAAAAUUAAUGUAAAAUAAAAUUGGGAUAAAUUUUGGGGUAUACAAAUAUGCACCUCUUCAAUAGAGUCCACGAGUAAAGCAAGUGUAUAUGUGAGCAAAACAAAGUGGGCUCUACUGAAAAAUAAGAAAGACCACCAAAUUUGUCUUAAUAUGACAUGAACUCUCCCAAAUAAAAAAAAUAAAAAAUCUAAAACCCUACAAAAAUGGCCAAAAUGGAAACUCCUAAGGUGCCUCUAAAGUUAUACUAUGGAUCUAGACUCCCUUAGAAAAGCCUCCAAAAAUGGCCCAAAAAUCGGUGCCAAAAUCGAGUAGCAAUCAGACCACUAAGGAGCACAUGAACGAAUGCAUACAAAGGGAAAAAAACCAUACGUGUACCAUACGAUGACAAAAGGCAUAAGGUAUCCAACAAUAUGACUGAUUCACGUGUUACGAGCUUAAAGAACUUUGUCAUGCACCAUGGAGGAAGGGAAACUCUAGAAUAAUGUGAUGAGGAAGUUAUUAGCACAAUGUAACAGAGUGAGGAAAAAAGUGAUGAGUGCAAAGCUGUGAGGACAAAGUGCACAAUGCUAAUGAAUAUGAAAUGAAUAGCACUAGGCUAUAAUGCAAUGAAUAGCUCAGGGUUGUACCAUAAUGAACAAGUCAAGGAUGUGUAAAGAUGAGGAACAACUCAAGGUUGUAAUGCAAUGAACAACUUAGGGCUAUGAAUGCAAUGAACAGCUCAGCUCAAUGAAUGAAAUGAAUAGCUCAGGGCUGUGAAUGCAAUGAACAACUCGACGUUGUGGAUGUAAUGAACAACUCAUGGUCAUGGAUGCAAUGAACAGCUCAGGGCUAUAGAUGAACAACUCGGGGUUGUGGAUGUCAUGAACAACUCAAGAAUAGGGGCACUAUACACCCAAAAUGGGAGAUCACGGUCUACGAUUCCAAGUCAAACCACUAAAGGGUGACCAAAAUGAGGGUGAUCAACUCACUAAAAAAGAUGAUCAAAAUGUCUUAAGGGAGAGGAGAUGCCCCAGAUGAAACUUAAAGGAAAUGAGUAGUGCUAAUGAAACUAAAAAAAGAAAAAAUGUCACAACUGAAAUUGAAAAAAUAGCAAACUUAGAUUAAAGUGCAAUGAACAACUUUGGGCUGUUGCGAUGAGUAGUACCGUGUUGUAAUGAAAUGAAUAACUUUAAGAUAUGGGCAUUGUACGCCUAAAGAGGGAGAUAGUGGUUUACGACUCCAAGUCAAACCACUAAAGGACGACUAAAAUAAGAUGAUCAACUUACUAUAAAUGAUAAUGCAACUAUCUCGAGAAAAAGGGUAUGCCCCAAAUGACACUCAACAGUAAAAGAAUGACACAAAUGAAACUAAAACAAGAGGAUGCCACAAAUGAAACUGAAAUGAUAACAGACUCAGUACUAAUGUGUAAUGAACAACUUUGGACUAUGGAUGCAAUGACUAGCACUGGGUUGUAAUGAAAUGAACAACUCUAAGAUGUGGGCACUAUACCCCUAAGAAAUGAGAUCAUAGUUUACGACUCUAAGUCAAACCGCUAAAGGGCGACUAGAAUAGGAUAAUCAACUCACUAAAAAUGAGGAUGCAACUAUCUCGAGAAAGGGGGUAUGCCCUAAAUGACACUCAAUAGUAUAAGAAUGACAUAAAUGAAACUAAAAUAAGAGGAUGCCACAAAUAAAACUAAAAUGAUAACAAACUCAAAACUAAUGUGCAAUGAAUAACUCUAGGUUGUGGAUGCAAUGAACAACAUUGGGCUGUAAUGAAAUGAACAACUCUAAGAUGUGGGCACUAUACGCCUAAAGAGGGAAAUCACGGUCUACGACUCCAAGUCAAACCACUAAAGGGCGACUAGAAUAGGAUGAUCAACUCACUAAGAAUGAGAAUGCAACUAUCUUGAGAAAAGCGGGAUGCCCUAAAUGACACUCAAUAGUUAAAGGAUGACACAAAUGAAACUAAAACGAAAUGAUACUACAAAUGAAACUGAAAUGAUAAUAAAUUGAUAACUAAAGUGCAAUGAACAACUCUAGGCCGUGGAUGCAAUGGACAGCUCAAGAAUAGGGGAACUGUUCGCCCAAAAUGGGAGAUCGUGGUAUGCGACUCUAAGUCAAACCACUAAAGGGUGGCUAAAAUCAAAAUGAUCAACUCACUAAAAAUGAGGAUCUGAACAUCUCAAGAAAGGGGUUAUGCCCCAAAUGAAACUGACAAUAGAGGGAUGCCUUAAACAGACUGAAGAAAGAAGGAUGCCCUAAACAAAUUAACGAAAAAUGGAUGCCCUAAACAAACUGACGGAAGUGAAAUGCCCUAAAUAAACUGACCAAAGAAGAAUGCACUAAACAAACUCUGAGAAAAAAAAAAAAAGAAGUAUGCAAUAUAGAAUCAAAAACACCUAAAGCAAAAACAAGAAACAAAGAAUGUGGUUUACAACUAGAAACACCCAAAAGAACCUUAAAGAAGUAACUGGGAUAAUGAACUUAAUGAAAAUGGGGUAUGCCACAGUAAAAGACUCGGAAGUAUCAGCAAAUGGGUCAAACGACCAUGAAAUCAAUAGGAGAUAUGAUGAACCCAAAAAGGGCAUAUGCCCCAACAAAAGAACACUAAAAGGGGGGUAUGCCCCGAUAUGACGACUCACAAUAAUUAAGAAAUGGAUCGAGUAAUGAGAAAAUCUGCAAAAUAUCCUAUGAACUCAAAGAUGGGGGUAUGCCCCAGUGUAAAAUAGUGACCAACAUAAGACACAGAAUGUCACCAUACAAUACACUCUGGGAUAUGCUCAAUGUCAAUGUAAUGAAAACAAUAGCCUCAAUCAACAAAUGUUCAAGCAAGACCAUGCAUCACAUAAACUAAAAUAAUAGGCUAAACAAAUGCUAACCAAGUCUCUCAAUCUGAAAUGUAAGCAAGUCAAGACAUGACAUGCCAACCAUCGACAUGAAAACAUCAUCACAAAUACAUCAACAAACUAAUAGUCCCUACUAUCAUGGAAGAUGUAGAACCUAACGUCCAAAGGCAUGUGAAAACUCAACCAGAAAGCUCAAGACUAGUUUGCAUCCUCCUCUAAUAAAAAGAAUGAGAUAAGGUCAUGUAGGAUGAUGAAAUAGGCAAGCUCAAUAUUCGUUAGGCUCUACCAAGAUGGAUGUAGGUAUAAUAGUGUCAAAGGUAGGAUGUCUAGAUUUCCAACGAAGGAAACUGGGUAUCCAAGUCAAACCAAGUAUGUUGAGGAAACUGAACCCAUAGGACAAUAACUUUAUGAUCCAUUGAAAAUAGCAAUCAUGAAUAGAAGGUCGAGUCUCGAUGUCAAAAUCAACAAGGUGGCAUUGCCCCAGUAUGAAUACAUCUUCUCAAAAUGGGUAAACCUUUAGUGCAAGAUAAUCUCUAGAAAGUGUGUGUCUAGUAUAAACUGUCAUCUCACAAAAUUUAUCACUGAUGAGUGGGCUAUACCCCAGUGUAAGCAUUUCCAAAUCAAACAUCGAUGAGAGGAGUACAACCAAUCAUACAUAAUAUGAUCAAAACAAAUCUCCACUCCUCAAAGUCAUCAUGGUAACGUGAAAAGAGUAUCUAACCUCAUUUAAAGAAAGAUCAUGUCCCAAUGUGAAAAAUAUCAAGCAAAGUGGUAUGUCUCAACAAAAAUGCACUCUAACAUGAUCAUGCCUAGAUGUAAGCUGGUAUCUUUAAGAUCAAUCACCAAUGAAAGGGUUAUGCCCCAGUAUAGGGCAAUCUCUUAAAUGACUAAAAUCCGCUACAAGCUCUCACAAGUGUCUAUGUCAUGAACCAAUCAUCUCAAAAAAUAAAUAAAUAAAUAAAUCUAUCAACAAUGAUGAGAAGGUUAUGCUCCUAUAAUCACACCAAGAAAAUCACCCGGUCAUAUCUUGUACUCCAAUGUGAAAGGAAAAUAUGAUCACCUCCAAAGAAUGGCUAUGCCCCAAAAUACAUCAUCGAUUGAGAAAUAUGCCCCUACGUAAAGUACAUCAACUGAAAUAUGCCAAUCAUGCCUCAUGCUCCAAUGUGAAAAAUGACGUAUAAUCUUCUUUGAGGGAUGGUCAUGACUCAAAUCCAUCAUCAGUUGAGAGAAGUAUGCCCCGACAUAAUGGUCAUCUAAAAAAUCAAUCCCCGACUAAGAAAUAUGUGCCUUGAUGUGAUGUAUCAAGCAAAAUGGCUGCAUACCCCAUAAAAAACUCUCUAAGGUGGCUAUGCUCCAAUGUUGGAUCAUACCACAACUCCUGGUCUAUCACAAUCAAAAUGCUGUCCAACCAAUCCCAAGUAUCGCCCACAUGAGAGCUAUCAAACACAAUGUGUGAUGUCAUGGCCUCAAGGUGGUCUUAAGAUUCGGAACGUAACGUAGGCUAGGGUAAUAAGGUAAAGAAAUGAAGGAAAACUAGGCUUAAUAAUCCUAAUGAUAAAACCCCAUACCUUAUGUAUAAAAUGCAAUAUGUGCAAAGAGUCUCAUAAACCAUGGAUCUAAGGACACCCAAUAUGAAUAUAUCAGUGAGGAAGAAAGAAUCUAAGAUGAAUAUAUCAAUGAUAACAGAGAAGAAAUGAAGAAUAUUAAACUGUUGAUGGGAUGUAUAAGAAUGAUGUAUGGAAAAUAUUGAACAUGGAAUGUAAAUUGAUAUGAACAAAGAACAAUGUAGGCAAGGCAAAUGUGAUAUCAUGAUAAGAACAAAUAAAUCGAAGAAAAAUGAAUGAACACUAAUCCACUCAAAUCAAGUCAUGGAGAAUAGUCAAAUCACCAACGUAUGUAAUGAUGGAGAAGACAAUGAUUCAAAGUCCCUAGGAAAAUGUCACUUGUUUGUCACACAUAAAAUACAUAACGAGAUAGACACAAAAAUAUGAGAGUCUUUUGAAAGUUCACAUACGAACUUUCAUAAGCAACUAACUCAAUAAAGCAACCUCAAUGACCAAUAUAUACACUCAAUAAAGGAUGACACUGUAUACAUGUGUUUAUUACUUUUUCUUUUCAUUUUGUUUUUCAUUUUUUUCAUUUUUGUUUUCAUUUUUUUUCUUUUACUCGCGCAUACUCUGAAUAUCAAUAAAUGAACUUCUCUGAGAAUACAUAAUGAAAUGGAUAUACUCUCAAACAAUGAUGUCAGCGAACUCUCUCUGACAAGAUGACCCUCUAAAUUAAGGAUUUUCGAACUAACGUCCAUGAGAUAGGAGUGGAAGGGGAUAUGACCAUCCUUCCUGCACCGAAAUGUGAAAAAUCAUCACUCAGGGCACAAAAAAAUGUGAUGAAAAAAAAUAAAAAAAUGAAACAAAAGAUAUAAACAAUGAAGUAUGAUGAAGACUGAUGUUGGGAAGACAAAAAAAAUUGUGAAGAAGGUGAGCCAAUAAGUCCUCAACUCAUGAAACUCUCGAAUAAAAUAUAUAUACACCAAAAAACCCUUAUCCCGGUGUAAAAUGUGAGCAAGGAUAUAAGAAAGAAAAAACUAUGGUGCUCAUGUGAGGUUCAAAGGGCUAGCAACGGUCCAAAUGUCAAUAAAGGUAAUAGGGUGUGAGCUAACCAAAAUGAAGGCCACCUAUGAUGGUCUGAAACAUCAUGCUCUUAAGCUUUCAAUGAUCAAUACUGAAAAUCGAUGUCAACCCUUUGGAAUUGUGCGCCAAACCAUACUCCAAAUGCUCCAUAAUAAUCUCAAAGAUAAUCCUCUCAAAGCAAAGUAAAUAGCGAUCUCAUAAGGCACAACUACUCAUCACAAGCCAACUCUCAUCAUGCAAGAUCAAUCUCUAUUUUCAUGGAAAAAUAAGUGACAAUCUCAUCAGGCAAUCGACGAAUCCUCACAUCGUAAACCAACCAAAGAUCAUAAGUCAUUCAUUGCCAUGCAAGAUCAAUCCCAGGCUCAAACUCCUCAUACUCUACCUGGUUGGAUUAGAGAAGAAAUGGGCAAAGCUAGAAAAACUGAAGAUGGAAAGGUCAUAUAAUGGUGUCAAGGGUGAUGUUGUGCAAAACUCACAAUGAAUGGAUGUAGGUCAAAGAAAAGUCAAUGUGUGAGAGUGAGUAAGGCACUACUCUGAUCAUAAGAAGAUGGGUCACAAUCUCAAACUCCUAAGGUCAAAUCUUCGAUCCUAGGCUAAUAAGCUCAACAUCCUCCAUGAUAGGUCAACCCCCAAGAUCACAAUGUGCAAAUGAAUAGAUGCCUCAAGUCAAAAGUACAACACAUCAUAUGAUAUAUGGUCCUACGAUGACAAUCUAAAACUGGAAAUAUGUUAGAAACUCUAAGGUCAUAAAGGUGUCCACUGUGAGAUGACUACAAAUGUGACUAAGGAAUCUUUAUCAAUAAUCCAAAAAAUGAAUGAGGUGUGAAAAACAACACUAUCAUGAGAUCGAUACCCCAUCAAUAACAAAAUAUCUCUAAUUCACUUUCAAUCUAAGCUCUAUAAAGAAAAACGAUAAGGUUAUAAAGGCAAACCUCUCAAAAAUGGUGUGAAUGUGAAAACAUGUCUUCACCUUUCUAUAAUGAAAAUAUCAUGUUGAAAAUAGAAAUAGGCAAAUCAACCAAAGAAUGAAGCACGGAGCCCAUGACAAGUGAAGAAUGUAAAAAGGUGAACAUGAUCAAUGAACAUAUCCCAAAACAUUAAGCAUAAAGUGACAACAAACCGAAAGAAUGUGUCAAUUUAAGAAAAGAAGACUAUCUGAAGCCCUAGGGAGAAAGUGUGCUAGACUCAACGAGCGACAAGAAGAAACUAAAACCAUAUAGCAAGGGGUGGUCCAACUGAUACUCAAACUCGUACCAAUAUCUAAGCACUCUCGACUGGAGACCAAAAGAUGGAGUAUUGGAUCCAUAUUGUGACUAAAGUGGCCUCGAAGGCUCUCAGAUGCACCCACGUGUAGGAAAGGAAAUCCUAAUGAAAAUAUCUAAGGCUUAACCUACAAGGUCAAGGCGGCUCUCAAAAGAAAAUUUGAGUAGACUUUAAAGGAUCCCUAGCAAAAGCGAUCAUACCCUCCGAUGGUACACAACCUCCUACACGUCUUGAAAUAUACGGGAGUGAUUCCAUGCAAGGUGGUCAUCACCUCCACACAUGCACUAUCUCGUAUCCUAGAGGGUUUCCUAAUGAUGAAGACUCUUACAUCUCUCAACACUUAGUGGUAAUCUAAGGUGCACAGUGAACGGUGUGGGUUCAUCCAAAAAUCCUAUCAAGCUAAGCAAAGAGAAAAAACAUUGGUCACACAAAUAUCCUGAAAUCUAGCUCUAACCUAUACAAGUCUUCAAAGAUUAGACUCCAAUUAGCAUUAAUGUUUCGACCUUCUCUAGAAUGCUCCCAAACAUAGAUAUAGUCCAUCACUAAACCCUACUCCGAAUCACUAGCUCGGUCAAAGAGCAAACAAAGUAAUAAGUCUCAUAUCAAAUACGAGAUCAAGGGGAACAUGGUCACCCGAGACUAGGGAAUUGAAGGUAAGGGGAUAGAUGUGUGUCCCGCAUAGAAAAGCAACAUGCAUCACACAGAAGAAGAAUAGUCAUGCAAUAGACAACCAAGCAAAGAACAGGUAUAUCAUUCAUAUCUACACACAAGCUAAACAAGAAAUAGGUAUUUAACAAGAAUAAACAAUAUGUUGAGAUAAACAAGAUAAUAUACGAUAAAGAGAAUCAAUCACACCAAUAUGAAUGAGAUAUACAAAAAUGAGAAUAUACAUGUCAAGGAGAGCAAGAUAAUCAUACAACAAGAAGAGUCUUAUGUUAAAGCAAGCAAGAGAAUCAAUCGAUGUAGUCAACAUGUCAAUAUCUCAAAUGAACAUAACAACCAAAUAUGCAUCAUAAAGAAAAAAUGGUAAUCAUGCAGCACACAGUCAUACAAAACAAAUACAGACAAACAUAAGCAAAUAAAUGUAAACACACAUGAUAACAAAAAUCAAUGUAUAGUAAGGCACAUGCAAUAUAUACAUAAAAUAAUCAUCAAGUCAACACUCAUAUACCUUAAAACAUGAAAAUAUACAAUAAAGACACAACGAGAGGGUAUUCACUGAUCGAUUAAUCAAACGCUACAUUUCCCUUAACUCGAGUUCAAGUUUGAUCCUUUAAAUAUCCCUAGUGAAGUCGCUAUUUUGUGGACCCACAUUUUUCAAAUACGUCCUUACACAACAGCGAGACUCAUUUUUUUUAUUUGGUGAAAAUUUGAUUUUUAGAAAAAAGACUUUGAGUCGUCACUUAUUUUUGUUUUUUUUUAAGGGAAAACAAAACAAGAAAGAAAACCUUGUGUGACUCCUUAUUUGGGAAAGACAUGUAUGCAAAAACCAAAUCUGGAUUCGGGGGUUAAGUUCCCUAUUGAGAAUGUACGAUGGUGAGCUGUAGCACCUCUCUAAGCUCAUAUACGUAUGGUCUCUACUAAACGAAUUAAGAGAAUUGUAGUAAUUAAUUAAUUAGUCAAGGAUACCAAGAAAAAGAAUCGCACAAAUGAGUACGUACAAAUCAUGAUAAAAAAAAUCAAAUUAUAAGAAUAGACAAAAUAAAUAACAAGAGAAUUGUGCAAAGUGAUUUAUUAAACUAAAUAAAAAAGAAGAUAUUAAAAAAAUUAGUUUUCAAGAAAUUUCAACGGAUUUUAUUAAAAUGAUUUUGAAUUAAUGAUUUUUAUUUAUUUAUUUACAAAAAAAGUGUCAAUUUAUUUUCUUCAAGUGAUUUGAUUCAAUUUCAUUUGUAUUCAAUUUUUUUUUUUUAAAAGUUAUUUACACUCAUGGUUGUUAAAAGAAUUAUUCACAAAAUUUCAAGUUGACAAUAAAAAUGAUUUUUACUUGCUUUUACUCAAAAACAAUGAAUUUUUACAAUUUUAUUAACAAAAGCAUUUCAAUUUAAGAAAAGUGACUUAAACAAAUUAUUAAAAAAAAUAUAACUUUAUCUGCAAAAGAAUUUUUAAUUAAAAAGAAAAAAUUUAAGUCAUCUAUUUCUAAAAAUGACUUUUAAUCCCAUUUUAAUUAAGGAAAAUUGAGUUAUCUAAAAAAACAUUUUUUGGACAAUUUGAAUAAAAAUUAAUUUUUGGGACAACUUUAUUUACAAAACAAUUUUUGGACAAUUAUUAUUAAAAACAAAAUUUCAAAUUCGAUUAAAAACAAUUUUUUGGAUUUUUCCAAACACAUUUUUAUGAAUUUUUAUUAAUAAAAAACUUUUUUUUAUUAAGAAGAAUAUUUUUUGAGCUAUUAUUUUAUUAAAACAUGUUUAUUGAAUUAUUCUUCUUCUUCAAACAAAAUUUUUAAUUUGUUCGAUAUCCAAUUCUGUACACAACAAGUAAAUAUAUACAAACAAAUAUUUAUAGAAACCAAUAAAAAUAAAACCAAAUAGAAGUGAGAAAUAAAACAUGUACUUAAACAAGCUUACAACAAGCUCAAUGUCUUCUUACGACUUUUCGAGUUUCACUUUCUUUCAUUAAAUUUUAUGCUCCACGUACCAUAAAUCCGUACUCAACCAAAAAAAUUGCAGAAUUGGCCCAUGCAAAAACAAAAAUAACACAAAUGUAUAAAGUUCACAAUAGAUAUUCAAACCCAAAUUCAAAUUUCAAAUUAGUCCAACAAAUUUCGUCAAUCAAAAUAGGUCUAAAUUAGCAAAUAUAGCCCAACAAAAAUAUCUCACAUGUCAUAGGCCUUAAUAUAAAAUUUCCAAAUUGAUAACCAAAAUAUAAGUUCAAUUAAUCAAACCCAAAACAUGAUACAUUAAAAUAAAUCUCAUUAGGCCUAAACUUAAUAUCUCAUAAUUCAAGCCUAAUUUAAAUAUAAACCUAAAUCCACAAUCAAAAUCAACUCACUUUAUGCUAAUCCCAAUUUACAAUCAAAAUCAAACAUAAUUUAAUAAGUAAAUAACUAAAUAAAUUAAGCAAACUCAAAACUCUCAAACCACUAUUGCAUAAUAUCAAACAAUAAUAAAUAUAAUGACAACAAUAUUAAUAAUAAAAUAAAAUAAAAAAAUUUAACUCACGUUGGAGCCAGUUUGAGUGUCGUGGGAAAGAAAGAAAAUGAGAGAAAAGUGGGAGAUGAUCGUUAGCUGGUAGUGGCUCGCCGACAGCGACUGGUCGAUAGUCCUACUGGCGGUAGUGAGGAUUGAUGAGUUUUUGGGAAAGGAAAAAAAAAAAAAAGAGGAGUAAUAAAAAAAAAAUGGAAAAAUGAGAGGAAGGUGGGAUAAGAGGGGAGAGAGAGAAUGAAGAAAAUAGGGGAAAAGAAAUGAGGCCGGCUGGAGGAGGAAGUGGUAGUGUGUGUGAGCUAAAGUGAAGAAGAAUGAAAGAAGAAGAAGGAGAAAAAUGGGAAAGAAGGGGAAAAAAAUUCGAGCCCUCUAAAUGAAGAAAGGUGAGUAGCUUAAAGAAGAAAAAAAAAUAAAAUAAAAAAAGAAAAAAUGAGGAGAAAAUGAGAGGGCCAGUAGUCUUGGGAAUGGGGUGGUAUAAGUGAGAGAGAGUGGGCGAGGUUGUUGGGGAAGGUAUGGGAGAGAGAGGAGAGAUAAAAGAAAGAGAAAAAAAAACAUAAUAAUAAUAAUAAUAAUCAUAAAUAAUAUAUAAAUUAAUAAAAAUUAAUAUUUAAAUGAUGAGUGUGUCAAAAAUAUUAUAUGUAAUUGGGAUUUAAUUUUAAGAGUAAAAUUGGACUAAAACUUAAUGUAAAAAUAAAAUUUGAACAAAUUUUAGAAUCUACAAAUACAUUCUUUAAUCUUUCCACAACAUCAAUCUGAUCUAAAUGAAAUGCAAUAAAUUCUAAAAAUGAUACAAUCUUUAAUCAAUCCACAACAUCAACCCGAUCAAAACUCAAUGCAAUAUUGCUUAAUGGAGAGAAUCGUAAAAUCCUUUUAUGAGAGGAAAACAAAACCCUUAACAGACCUUUAUGAGAGGAAAAUAGGAAAACAUAGAACUAAAAACCCUUAACGUAUUCAUGAGAAUAAAAAAAUCCUUAACACCUUAAUAAGAGGAAAACAAAGAAUUUGAACAAUCCUUAAUCCAUCAAAAGCUCUUAAUAUGAACGAGGGGAAAACAUAACCUUUAUUUUUCAUAUCGUUGAAUACAGAAUCUAAAGAGAUAGAAUUUUUAGUUAUUAAGGAUUUUUUAUAGAUGUCUAUUGAAAGUUCAAGAACUUUUAUGGAUAAGUGUUAAUUAAGAGACUGAAAGGGUACUUAGGAUUUUCAACUAAAAAAGUUAUAACAAUAUGAAUCGUAAGAACUUAAAAACAUCACCCAUCCAUAAGAGGAAUAUGGAAUGAGAGGUUAUAUUUUUACUUAUACAACAAUAAACUUUUUUGGAAGAGGUUUUUCUAAGUACAAAAAGUUAUGAAUAAAAAACCAUUGUUACGAUGAGUUAACUAAAAUAGAAUUAAUUUAGAAAAUAUCAAUAAAGUUGCAUGAAUUAUUAUCAUGAGUUAACUUAAUAAGAAUAAAUAGUAAUAAAGUUAAUGAGGUGAAUUUGGAUUGGCAGAUAUAUUUGAUGAUAAGAUUUUUUUAAUAAUAAAAAAUUAUUAUGGCAGGAAAAAUAGGACAAAAUUGACCUUAUGAUAAGAUUUUUUUAAUAAUAAAAACAUUAUUAUGGUAUGAAAAAAAGGGACAAAAUUGGCCUUNNNNNNNNNNNNNNNNNNNNNNNNNNNNNNNNNNNNNNNNNNNNNNNNNNNNNNNNNNNNNNNNNNNNNNNNNNNNNNNNNNNNNNNNNNNNNNNNNNNNUUUUCUAAGUACAAAAAGAGUUAUGAAAUAAAAACCCCAUUUGUUACGAUGAGUAACUAAAAAUAGAAUUAAUUUAGAAAAAUAUCAUAAAGUUGCAUGAAUUAUUAUCAUGAGUAACUUAAUAAGAAUAAAUAGUAAUAAAGUUAAUGAGGUGAAUUUGGAUUGGCAGAUAUAUUUGAUGAUAAGAUUUUUUUAAUAAUAAAAAAUUAUUAUGGCAGGAAAAAUAGGACAAAAUUGACCUUAUGAUAAGAUUUUUUUAAUAAUAAAAACAUUAUUAUGGUAUGAAAAAAAGGGACAAAAUUGGCCUUUCCUUAAUUGUACCGGUUAAUGGAAUAAUGGGACAUGCGGUGGUUACAAGCCACCCCAAAAGGUAGGAAGAAUCUCCAACCCCCAUUCUCGGCUCCCUUAUCUUUUCCCUUACAACCAAAAAUCAACAACUAUCUUAGAAUGUCCUUCAGUCCAUCAAAAUUCAACAACAACAAUUAUACAUUACAAUAAUGAAAACAAAAUUGAUUGAUCACCAGCUAACAUUAGGAGAUUAUAAGAUAAGGAUGUAAUUGCAAUUAUUGAAAUCACUUAAAGAGUAAAAGUUAGGAACAUGCUCACAAUAAAUAAAAUCACCUUAGAAUUAAAAAUUAGGGACAUGAUUAUGAUGAUUAAAAUCACUCGAGAACUAAAAUGUUUUAGAGAUACAAUAAUUGAAAUCAACUGAAAAAUAAAUUCGGGAUGUGAUCGCAAUUAAUGUAUAUAUAAACAACCAAAUGUUGAAAGGAAAAACUAAUGAAAUUAAUAUGAUUUUCUUUUAGAUUUCUCUUGACACCAAACAAAUGUAAGGAAGUUUAUAAAGGAAAAUUAGGUUUUGAUUCACUAAAUUAAAAUAAUAUAGAAAAAAGAUCUUCAAAUUUUAUAUACCAGUUUUAUUUUUAUUUAUUUAAAAAUAUUUUAAAAUACAUAUAUUUUUUCAUAACUCAAAUAGUCAUUCCUCAAAUGCUAGUUUUACUUGUUAUGUUAAUAACACUAGUUAAUAAUUUUUUAUUGUGAGAACGAUUUAAGAUUAAUAAAAUAAGAAAUUUUUAAAACUAAAAAGACAUUUAAAACUUUAAAAUUAAAAAUAUAAAAAUAAAACAAUAAUUUUUCAUUUAGUAAAACACGCCAGUAGAAAAUAUAGAUAUAGAGAAAGAGUUGGAAAUAAAAUAAGAGUUAAUAUUUUAUUUUUAAAAUUUUAUGUUUUUUAUUUUAAUUGUAUUUAAUUUUAUGUAUUUUAGUUGUAAUUAUAUUUUUAAUUUUUAAUUUUUUUUUAUUUUAUUGUUGAUGUAAACUAAUAAAUUUUUUGUUCAAUUAUAUAUAUAUAUAUAUAUAUAUAUAUAUAUAUAUAUAUAUAUAUAUAUUUUAAAAUUAGUGAGUAAAAACCCACUUUUUCUAAUUUAUAAUAUAUUUAUGGGAUUUUAUAAUAUAAGCAAUUUUUUUUUUUUUGAGAAAGAGGAAAAAUCAACUUUUCAAUUUCCCUUAAUAAUUAUUAUUAUUAUUAUCCAAUUUGGCUGAUUAUGAGAUUAGUUCGUAUCAUUACUAUAUCCAUUUGUUCUUAACCCUUCAUUAGAAUAGUAUUAGGAGUUGAACGUCAGUUGGAAUACAGGCUUAUGGAAACAAAUCUAUCCGAUUAGUAGGUUCUUAUUAUUUUCAAUAUAGCCCCAUAAAAUAAAUAGGAGAUGGGCAGCCCGUCCCUUUUGUCUGGAGGCCAUCCUCCCAACUUAUUAAAGGUGAUAUGAGAUAAGACAGUGACAAAAUUGUCGGUUACUUCCCGACACCUGGCUCUCCACAAGCAAACCCAGUGAUCCAGAAAUUAAUUGGUACCUGGACACGUGACUAACAAACCUUCGCUCAUCUACCAAACCCAUGGCCUCAUGCCUUAUAUAUUUCCACAAACCUAGCUCAAUUUUCAUAGCCACCUUCACUAUCCUAUACUCACUAAGCCAUGGCCAUAGAUACAAGCCUCUUGCUUGAGUUUGCUGCAGCAACUCUACUCUUCUUCAUCACCCGCUUCUUCAUUCGUUCUCUCCUUCCCAAACCUUCCCGGAAGCUCCCCCCUGGCCCCAGAGGGUGGCCGCUCCUCGGCGCUCUUCCUCUUCUAGGUAACAUGCCUCAUGUUGCAUUAGCAAAGAUGGCCAAAAGAUACGGGCCUGUCAUGUUCUUGAAAAUGGGCACUAACAGCAUGGUGGUGGCCUCAACUCCCGAGGCGGCUCGGGCUUUCCUUAAAACGCUAGACAUUAAUUUCUCUAACCGCCCGCCUAAUGCCGGUGCCACACUCUUGGCCUAUCAUGCCCAAGACAUGGUUUUUGCGGAUUAUGGGGCAAGGUGGAAGCUACUGAGAAAGCUAAGCAACUUACACAUGCUUGGUGGGAAAGCUCUUGAGGACUGGUCUCAGGUCCGAGCUGUUGAGCUAGGCCACAUGCUUCGAGCCAUGCUUGAGUUAAGCCAGCGAGCGGAGCCGGUGGUGGUGCCGGAGAUGUUAACUUUUUCCAUGGCCAACAUGAUAGGUCAAGUGAUUCUAAGCCGCCGGGUGUUUGAAACAAAAGGGUCGGAGUCAAAUGAGUUCAAGGACAUGGUGGUGGAGCUCAUGACCACUGCUGGGUACUUCAAUAUUGGCGACUUUAUUCCGUCCAUCGCAUGGCUGGACAUCCAAGGGAUCCAGCGCGGGAUGAAGCAUUUACAUAGGAAGUUCGACCGGUUAUUAACAAAGAUGAUGGAGGAGCACACGGCGUCAGCCCAUGAGCGAAAGGGAAACCCAGAUUUUCUGGACGUAAUCAUGGCAAACCAAGAAAAUUCUACAGGGGAGAAGCUCACUAUUACCAACAUUAAAGCACUCCUCCUGGUAUGCAUAGUUAAAGCUCGUCUUCAAUUUUGUUUUCCGAUAUUUUCUUUCCGGAAACAGCACUUUUAUUGCUUUUAGAUAUGUACGUUUUUAUCAGGUAGCCAUUUUAGGGGCACAUCACUAUUCUUUAUUUUUGGACUAUUUUUUUCUUUUUCCACUUGCAUGGUUGUUUUCAUAUGCUCAGCUGCAUGGCACAAGAAAAUUGUGAAAAAUGAUUGGUUCUCUGAUCAGACCUUCAGCACCAAAACACGCUUUUCUCUAUGUUAUAAAAUCGGUUUACAUGAUUUUUCAACCAGCUUCCUUGAACUUGAACUUUUGCUAGGGCUAAUGCAAAAAAUGAUUGAUCUCAAUUUUCAAUAGCGUUUGAUUACAUAAAUUUCAAGUAUGUGAACAUAUUUUUGUUUCCUUGGCUAGAAUUUAUUUACUGCAGGAACAGACACUUCAUCGAGCGUAAUCGAGUGGUCUCUGGCUGAGAUGUUGAAAAACCCGAGCAUCCUCAAGCGUGCUCACGAAGAAAUGGAUCAAGUGAUUGGAAGGAGCCGGCGGCUCGUGGAGUCUGACUUGCCAAAACUUCCAUACCUACAAGCCAUAUGCAAGGAAAGCUUCCGGAAGCACCCAUCCACACCACUGAACCUUCCUCGUGUCUCAACCCAGGCAUGUGAAGUGAACGGCUACUACAUCCCAAAGAACACUAGACUUAGUGUGAACAUAUGGGCAAUCGGGCGAGACCCUGAUGUCUGGGAAAGCCCGGAAGAAUUCAGGCCAGAAAGGUUUUUAAGUGGAAGAAAUGAAAAAAUUGAUCCUCGUGGAAAUGAUUUUGAGUUGAUCCCGUUUGGGGCUGGACGAAGGAUUUGCGCUGGCACUAGAAUGGGAAUAGUGCUGGUUGAGUACAUUUUAGGGACGUUGGUACAUUCAUUUGACUGGAAAAUGCCGGAUGGAGUUGAGAUCAACAUGGACGAAGCUUUCGGGCUUGCGCUGCAGAAGGCAGUUUCUCUUUCGGCCAUGGUGACACCAAGGCUUCACCAGAGUGCGUAUGCAGUCUGAGCUCAAACCGCUCAGACCAAAACCCAGGCCUCGCUGCUAUAUGGCAUGGAUGCAGUUAAGUAGAAAAUAUUUUGGGAUUUUUGCCUGUGGCUUAGUAUAAGAUGUAUUAGCUCAAAGAUGGUCGUUUCAUUCUACCACCAAGCCAUAUGCAUCUAUGCAUAAUCUAUUGAUUUAGGCUCGAUUUGGUUAUAGUUUUUGUUUUUUUGUCUUCCAAAUCAGUAAAUAGUAGGGGUAUUUUUGUCCUAUGUAGUGAUUCUUUUUGUUUGAUUGAUUAUAUUUGGAUCCUUCAAAAAUAUACGGUCAGAGCCAUCUCCAUCUUUUCACUUCUUGUGCUGCAGAAUGGGAUUGGCUUAGAUCGUUAGUCUAAUGUUAACCCCCUUCAAAUCUAAUUAUUCAUACUCAAUUUUGACACGAAAGAGCCAUUGUCAUGAAAGGGGGACCAGGGACCUCAGCACCCUUGGUUCAUCAUUUUGGUACGAUGCCAACUCUACCACAUAACCACCAUUUAGAUAUCUAUCCUUUUAUUUUUGGCAUGUGAACUUAUAGUGGGUGGCUGACCUUGAAUCCAAUAGUUAUCAUGAUAUAUAUGGCUGAAAUUAACCAUCAUUUAGAUAUCUAUCCUUUUAUUUUUGGCAUGCGAACUUAUAGUAAGUCCGAUUUAUGUCCAAGGGUCAAAUUUAAAUCUCUCUUCAAUCUAAUGGCUAAGAACUUCCCAACUUUAUUUAAUACUUAAUGUAUCCAAUAAUUGUAAUCGAGUAAUCCAAUGACAAGUACCUUCAAUGAUUAUUUUGGCAAAAGAAAUAAUAUAAGUUUGUUAUUUUAUGAUAUAAUAAAUUUAUUAAUACUUUCCUUUUUCAAAAUAUGUAAUUAGUUGUAAUUUCAUUAUAUAAUAUAUAAAUUAAGUUAUUUGCAAUUUUAAA
rnacentral:lncRNA from 1 species